GCAGCACUUAUCCUUUUUUAUCAUUUUCAUUUGUUAGAUUAUAUUAUCCAACCAACUAUCCACUCAAUUCUAGGGGUCCCACAUCAUUUUAAUCACACAUUUCUUAAUCCAAUUGCCAAAAGUCUAUAAACAUCAAUAACUUGUACUUUUAAAAGCAUAGGAGCUCAAUUCUAUAUAUAUAGUUGAGCUGAAAAACUAUCAUUAGCAAACAGGUUCCAUUUUGUUUUCGAUAAUGGAGCCUUCAAAUCGACGAUCGGCACUAUUGAAAAUGAUAUAUACCACUUAAAGUAUCUAAAAAUCAAAUUUCAUACUUUUCCGAUAUUGUUCUCUUGUCUAUCAAGUGGGCGUAAAAAUGAACAGCUGAAAAUGAAUAUUAUCUAAAAAGUGAUGGUAGGAAUUUUGUAAUCAAAAGUGAGAGCAUAGAUCUUAUUCUAAAUAGUUUAAAAAAUUUUCUAACCUAAAUUUAAUUAAUUUGGAUAGUUUUACACCGUUAAACGAGAAAACGCCUUAUAUCAACCAUUAAAAUUACAAAUUUUGAAAUCCUUUGACAUGAGGUCAAUGAUGUCGAAAAGAUUUGAAAUUUGAUUUCUAGAUACUUCAAGUGGUAUAGAUCAUGUUCAGCAGUGCCGAUCAUCAAUUUGAAGGCUCCAUCAUUGAAAAUAAAUGCAUGGCAGCAACAGAGUCCAUUUGCUACCAAUAGCAUUCCAGCUCAACUCUCUCUCUCUCCCUAUAUAUAUAACCAAGAAAUAUAAAGGAAAACGAAAAAGCCAUAUCAAACUUUAUAAUAAGUUUGUAAACAUCAAAUAAUUUAGGUGUCUCAAAAUUCUCUUGAUUGCGUUGGAUAAAACUAUCCUGGAAUUCAAACUCAAAUAACCACAUUAAUAUGAGUUUUAGCUAUAAUUAUGCCACUCCACUCAUUCUUUUCAUCCUUUUCUUUAAAAGGGGUUCAAUUAUUAGGUGGGUUCUCUGCUAAAGAAGUGAGGCUAAUGGGCCCUUGAGAGAGAGCGAGAUAAUGUCAAAUUAUAUGAAGUAAUGGUUGUUUUUUAAAAUUUGGGCUCGAAAUAUUUUGAUAGGCUCAAUAUGUAGACUUAAAUUAAAUAUUAAAAAAUUAAUUAUCCUAGGAGCCGAACGGGAUUCGUACUCGGAAUCUUUUGUUCUAAUACCAUAUUAAAUUAUCUAAAGUAACUAUUGUUCUCUAAAAAUUUAAGCUACUAUAAAACGAAUGUUUUUAAUAUUUAUAUUCAAGAUCGAGAGAGAGAGAGAGAGAGAGAGAGAGAGAGAGGGAGCGCUUGUCACCAUGAACCUUCUUUCUAAAGCUUCAAGCUUUAGUUUGAGUUCAUGGCCACACCUACCAAAGUGAUAUCCUACUUGUCUUCCAAGCAAAACCCCCACACCCAAAUCCACUGCCACCUUACACAACUUUUCCUUUUUUUCUGCAACCAUAUCAUACUUUCACUCAUUCACUACAUCUCAACAUCUUCAUCCUUGUACUCCCCACUCUAAGCCUAUCCUGUGUAAUCCUUGCUCUAAAUCUCUUGCACAAGAGAAGAAGAAUACAAAGAUGGGCUCAGUCCAAAUGCCUGGAAAUUUUCUAUCUUCUGCAUUGCCAGAGUCCUCAUGUGCCUAUCUUCUUCAAGAAUUGAAGGUUCUCUCUUACUUAAUGCUCAAAAUACUAGACUUGUUCUGAUUCAUUAACUAUUUUAAACUGGAAACAGAUGAUAUGGGAUGAAGUGGGACAAGACCAACAUGACAGAGAAAGGAUCCUGCUUGAAAUUGAGCAGGAUUGUGUGGAUGUUUACAGGAGAAAGGUCGAUACCGCGAAUAUCUCUCGUGUUCGGCUUCAUCAAGCAUUGGCCGAGUCAGAAGCUGAGUUCACCAAUCUUCUUCUUUCCCUCGGAGAAAGAUCAUUCCCUGGCAGGGUAAGAUUCAUGCUGACCAAAAUCUGUGUGCAAUAAAUUCUCACUAAUUAGUACUAAUAAGUGCAUGUUUUCCCUGGAUUUUGCUCUAAUGCAAAGCUUAAAUGAGUUUGCUGAAAGCUGCAGAAGCAGAAGCUCUAAUUUGAAACUUUGGCUUUCGCUAUUUUAAGAAGAGAUUUUAAUGAAAUAUGCAAUAAUGCUUCUUCAAACAGCAAUACUUCAGAAGCUCCAACGCGGCCAAACAGGCUCUAACUUGACCUUAAAAGGGUAUUUUCCGAUGAACUAACCAAAAAAACUUUUUGGAGCAGCCGGAAAAAUUGACAGGGACUCUAAAGGAGCAGCUUGACUCCAUCACCCCAGCCCUUCAAGAAAUGCAGAUGAGGAAAGAAGAGAGGGUAAGGCAGUUUCGGGAAGUUCAAACUGAGAUCCAAAAAAUAGCCUCGGAGAUCGCAGGCCGUUCGGUUUGUGAAACUGUCGCCGUGAAUGAAGGCGACCUCUCGCUGAAAAAGCUAGAAGAUUAUCAUAAUGAAUUACAAAGACUUAAGAAGGAAAAGGUAAUUUUCAAUAAAUUUUACAAUAUAGACAUGCAACACAUCUCAUAUGACCAUAGUUUCUCUUUUUCAUUUUCUCUUUUUAUACAUGUUUUUUUCAAUCUGAUAGAGUGAUAGACUACGUAAAGUCGAAGAGUACAAAAGUGCAGUGUAUGACCUCGCGGUAAUCAUGGGAAUGGAUCCUUCGAAGAUCAUCGCUGAUGUUCACCCGAGCUUAUUGGAUGGUUUGAGUGGACGGCAAUCAAAGAAUAUAAGUGACAACAUUUUGGAGAAGCUGAAGAGCACAGUACAGCAUCUCAAAGAAGAAAAGCAGAUGAGAAUGGAAAAGGUGAUUUUAUUGCCCAAUUUAUUUACUCUUACCUGUGAUUUUCCAAAUGAUUGAUUCAUUGCAAUCAUCUAACAGGAAUCAUAACAAAACUCGUGUAAGUUUGUCAAAUUAGCAUGAAAAGUACCAAAAAAGAAUCACUAGAUCAUUUGCAGAACAUAAUCAUUAACAAAGGAGUAACUAGAUUUUCGACAAGAGAUAUGUGGUACAACUAUGUGUUCUACAGAAGAUUACAUCAUAGAAGGUUAAAACCGAACUAGUUUUCGCCCUUCAAAGUUCAUAUAAUGUAACAAUAUCAAUUAAAUCUAAAAAAGACUCAUUUAUCUGCAGCUUCGAAGUCUUGAGAAAGCAUUAACCAACCUGUGGAGUCUUUUGGAUAUACCUCCUGAAGACCGGCAACCAUUCUCUCACGUUAAGAAUUUUUCGUCGAUAUCUGCUACAAGUGGCAUGUUACGUCCUGGAACGCUUACCCUCGACACAAUUCAAAAGGUAAAAAGAACUUAAGAGUAACAAUACUUAAAAGUUAAAUUUUGAGCUCUAGAAUUUCGGAAGCCAAUUUGUUCGCACACUUGCUUAACUGUUGCUUUGUUUCUUAUAUGAUAUAGGCCGAGUCCGAAGUUCGGAGGUUGGAUCAGCUAAAAGCAAGCAAAAUGGAAGAGUUGUUCUUAAAAAAGAAGAUUGAGGUUGAGGAAAUAUGCAAGAAAUCUCACAUGGAGUUGCCUUUCAAGUUAGAAAUGGAUAACAUUAUGAAACUAAUAAUUUCAGGUUCUUUUUCUUUCAUCUGCUUCACUUUCCAUGCUUAUUCGUAGAAUCAAUUGUAUCUCUAAUACAUAUAAUAAAUUAUAUCUACUCAUGUGAAGGAAAACUGGACCAUGAUGAAUUACUGAAGACAAUGGAAGAAUACAUAUCGGAAGCAAAGGAGGAGGCUUAUAGCCGGAGAGAUAUAAUGGACAAGGUUGAAAAGUGGAUGGCUUCAUGCGAGGAAGAGCGCUGGUUGGAAGAAUACAGCAGGGUGCUCCACUAACCCACCGCGCCACAAGUUAUGGCCUGUCUGGCCCACUAGUAGCUUUUUUUGUAGGUGCUUUUCAAAUAAAGCUGUUUGAACAAGCACUAACAAUUUCUUCAUUGAGCUUCCCCCAACAGGCUCUGGUUAUAGCAGAAACAAAAGCUUUAGGGCUCAAAAGCUCAUUUCAGCUUCACACUGAAGCAAAAGCUCCUGACUUCAUUUGCCGUAUGCCCGGCCAAUACUUCAUGGAGUAUAGAAAGUUAUUCUUGAACCCAGUCUUUACGAAAUUAGGCUUUGUAUCCUAACUACUUGUCUACAGGAUGAGAACCGGUACUCGGUAAGCAGAGGAGCUCAUAAAAACUUGAGACGUGCCGAGCGAGCGAGAAUAGUAGUCAGCAAAAUUCCAGGUUAGCAUCAAAUAUUGUUUAAGAAGGAAAUGCAUUGGAUAAACUAAUAGAAUGAAUAUGCAGGUUUAGUUGAAUUGCUGAUGGCUAAGACCAAGAUUUGGGAAGAGGAGAGACAGAAAACUUUCUUGUAUGAUGAGGUAAGAAGAAAAGCCCCUCGAGUAUUCCAUAUACAUUUCCUGUUUAUGAACAUUUCACGUGGAUCUUUCGAUAUGCUAGAAUGUAGAUAAUAAUAGGUCUUUUUAAGGAUUUGGACAACUCAAAAGGUACAUUGAACAAAAAAUUGCAAAAUAACAGGAACUUAUCACAAAUCUUCUGGAACAGAAGGAAGUUAGCAUUCUUUGGCCACAAUGUUCAACUUGAGGAAAGACGAGCCUUGCUAUAUAGCUGUACCAAAAAAAUGGUGGAAAAUAGCAACAAAUUGCCAAAUUUGAAGGAAAAACAGUUUAUUCUUUGUAGCAGUUAUACUUUUGGGCGAAUAAUAUUUUAUCUUAACUAAUCUUUUGACAGCUCCCUCUUUUGGCAAUGCUCGAAGAAUAUGUUUUACUACGCAAGGAAAAGGAAGAAGAGAAGUACAGGCAGAGGGUGAGUAUUUACCGCAUCGAGUGAAGAAAUAAAAUGAAAAGUGAAAGAAACCGCUACUAACUUCGUGUUAACAUCAUUUACACUUGUGUUACUUCUUCGACAGGAGAUGAAAAAGGUGCAGAAUCAAUAUGUAAAGCCGCAGGAGAGCCCAUUUAGCUCGAGGCCGAGGACAAGCAGUAGCCACGGUUCAAACCGAAGUUUAAACAGCAGUUUUGCCUAUGCAUCAUCGCCUUUGAAUAAGAGAAUUUCUGGAAUGAGCCAACCAGGAGGCUCGGAUAACAAUUCUAUAGCUGAAGAGACCAGGUUCAUUAGAAAAAGCAGGAGCACAAGAAUGCGGAAGAUGUCGGGGAAUAACGGCCACGGCUUUAAUGUUAAAGCAGAUGCAGCAUCAGAAAUAUCGGUGACAUGCUCAGGCCCAACAUCUCCUUGAUUUUUUUCCCCCCUUUUUUUUUCAAUCUACAAAUAUGAAGUGAGUAGUAUCAUGAUUCUCAUCAUGUAUGUGUGAUUUAGGUAGGGACAUAUAAAGUUUGAAUAUGAUUGUGUUUGUACAAAGAAAACAAAAAAAGAACAGAAUGUAACACUUGUAUCAAAAUUAUAUUCAUGUUGAAGUUUGUGAAAGCCGGAAUUUCAAUUGAAGCUAGUUGGUGAACUCUAGGUUCAGUUUCUGCUUUCAGAUUCAGCCAACUUUAGCCGAGAUCUGGCAAACUGAAAAGCUUGGAGAGUUUCUGAUGUGACUCGAAGUUAAAAUAAGCUUCUGAGUCCAGUUUGGAAGAGUAUCAAGUUAUGGAUGAAAAUAUUCUGCAGUUGAAUAUGUAGCUUAUCAAAUCCAGAGAUUAAUUGUUCUUUUUUAUUUUUUCAAUUUCAACAUUCUCUAAUCAUUCUAUGUAAUGACAAGUGAUUUUAGCUGAUUUCAGUAGGAACUGAACAUCAACUUUUAACUUACUAACAUAAAAGUGAAGUAUCAAAUACAGGACUGUAUAUCAAAAUUAACAAUGGUAAACAACUAAGAGCAUCUUAUUAAGCAGAUAAUCAUGCCAUUAUGCAUUCAUUGCUGGAGAAAAAUAUGAUUGUAAAAAGAAAAAUAUUAGAGAGGCUCUAAAGAGAGUAGAAAUACCAAGAAAUGGGAUCAAAUCCAUAUCGAGAAAUGGCUAAGAUUGUGAAACAACCGUUGUACUCUAAAAGCUUAAGCUGUUAGAGAACGAUGUUUAUAUAAUUUUAUAUUCAACACUCCCCUCACAUCCGGGCUCGAAACUUUUUUAGUCUUAGUCGGUCCAUGACGUGGGCUUAAAUUAAAUGGAAGGAAAUUAAUGUGCUAGUUAGGAGUCUGGCGUGACUUGAACUCAGGACUUCCUACUCUGAUACCAUGUGAAACAACCGUUGUACUCUAAAAGCUUAAGCUGUUAGAGAACGGUAUUUAUAUAAUUUUAUAUUCAACAAAGAUUGUUAUGUGUAAUCAUCAUUUCCUUGUGUAUCCUAUCAGAUUAAGGUCUCUUAAACUCGGCAUUUUCUGGGCCUUUUUUUUUGAGUUUUGACUCUUCUGAGUAAACAUUCGAGAGGGGCACGCUUUGUUGAAGCGUUAUUCUCAGACAACUUAAACUUUUGAAAAAUAAAAAUUGUUUCAUAUGUCUCUCUAUUUUUUUUUUGAUGAUAUUGUAAAUAUAUAUUAAUAUUAAAUUAGAAAUAAGUCGUAAAACACGUUAUCUCUUAUAAAGGCAAACAUUUUUUUAGUUUCUCACUCCAUGCCAAGGGUUGAAAAUAAAUAAAAUAUUUUUGUAAUUCCAAACAAAGUUUAAGCUAUCAAUCUCUAUAAUAUACAACACUCUCCUCGGUGCAUAUGAACAGUUUUGUGCAAAUCUCGUAUAAAUGGUUCGGGUUAAUUUCGUUACUAAUUAAAAUUAUUUAAUAAUAAAUAGAAAAAUCCUACACAAGCUCACAAAUCUAGUGCUGCGCAAUAUCUGCGCAAAGUAUGUGAAACUCCUAACCCGCGGUAAAAUCACCUCCGCACCCGCGUACCCUUUACCCGGUAUUUGAUACGAAUAUAAUUUUUAUUGGGCAAAAAUUUAAUACGGAUAUAAUUUGAAUUUUAAAUUUUAAAUUUUGUUUAAAAAAUAUUAUUUAAAAAAUAAAUUCGUUAAUUAUUCGAAUACAUAAUUUAUACAGAUAUUAUACGUUCACCAAUUAACAAUUCGAGAUAAAAAAAUUCGACUAUUAAACUAAGCUUUUUUUCUCUAGAUUUAUGCUACCAGUAUAUAUAGUUUUAAAUUAUUAAAAAUAUAUAUAAAAAAAGAGAGUUACAAAAUAAAGUAGAUUAAGCAAAAAUAAUAAUAAUAAUAAAUUUUAUUAUCGUUUUCAUCUUUAUUUUUUUCAUAAUCUCUAUAUUUCGAAAGUUCAUAAAGUUUUUUAAUAAUUCGCGAAUAAAUUUUAUCCAAAAAAUUUAUGCAAUUUUUUAGCUGAAUAGUUCGAUGUUGAAUUAUUCAUGAAUAAUUAAUCUAAUCUAAAAAUUUAUAUAUUAUUUUAUUUUUUUACAUGUGAGUAAAUUAUAUACGGACAGUUUUAUUCGAAUUUUUAAUAAUUUACGAGUAAUUCGCAAAUAACUACCAUCGCCACAGCAAAUAAACGUGCCCAAAGUAGGCGGUGUAAAAUUACCGGGCGAAGCACCCGACCCGGACCUCGACCCGAAUCCAACGCCUUACUUCCCACGAACGCGUCUUCCUCGUGGCGCAACUCUCUCCAUCGCCCGCACAAUACAAAAACCCCGACCUCCUCUCUCGCCCUCAAAACCCUAACCCUCGUUUUCUCCUCCUCCUCCUCCUCCUCCUCGUUCUCCUCUCCGUAGAUCGAACUUGGAAUCGAGAAUGGAGAUCCCUCAGAACGAUUUCGAGCGCCUCGUCUUCUUCGAGCACGCGCGCAAGACCGCGGAGGUCGCCUACGCCGCCGACCCCCUCGACGCCGACGUGAGAUCUCAUCGCCACCCUCCGAUCGAUCCGCUUUUCUCAUAUUUUUCAUCCUCUUUUUUUUCUUUUCCUUGUUUUAAUUGAUGUUUUGAUCGAUCGGAACCCUAAUUUGUUUAUUUGUAUUGGGUUCUUGUUGUGAAGAACCUGACGAGAUGGGGAGGGGCUCUUCUUGAGUUGUCUCAGUUUCAGAAUGGGGUUGAUACUGUGAAGUACGUGGAAGGUAAUAGAAUUUGUGUUGUUGAGAUUAGAAACUAUGUUUUUAGUUUUUUUUUAAAGAGUAAUUUUUAUGUAUAAAAGUACAGUACUUACCUGAACUAUCAACUAUAGUACACUUUUGAGAUGAAUUUUGAAUUUAUUAUCUACCUUUAUGGUUACUUUGAUUUCAGAAGUACUGUCAAAUUCAGUUAGAACUUGUGAUUUCCAUUGAAAAAAGUUCAGAAAAACCAUUAUGUGCCGGUGUGGGCCUGCUUCCGCUUCUGCUUUCAGCAAUAGUCACGUUUAGUAGAGUGUUUGGCAAAUAGAAAAGUUUGGUGUCGCCGCAGCGGGAGUGAAAAACAAAAAUUUUGGGGACUGAAAGCAGAAACUCCAAUUUGCUGCUUUUGGUUUUGCCUCAGAGGGAAUCUGUUGAAGGAAUUUUAAGAUAAUUGUUCUUCUGAAAAUACCACUCCGAUAACACUUCAUCCAGUGGUACUAUUUGGAGCUCUAAGUGUGAGAUACAUAGAUCAAAAUAAUUGUAAGCUUAGGUAUUAAAAAUAAACUUUUCAUUUUAAAGUUUGGUUACCGUUUUCAAAAUGUGCUAUGUCAACUGUGUUUCAAAUGCUUUCAUCUUAUUUUUAUGUAUUUUAUGCAAAAUUUUGGCUUUGAGAUAGGAGUUGUUCUAUUUCGAUGAUUUGGGUCGUAUAGAUGCUGUAUCGAAACUGGAGGAGGCAUUGGAGAUUAAUCCCAGGAAGCACGACGCUCUCUGGUGCUUAGGAAAUGCUCACACUUCCCGUGCUUUUUAUACUCCUGAACAUGAUGCGGCAAAGGUCUAUUUUGCAAAGGCCACCCAGUGUUUCCAGAAGGCUGUCGAGGAGGUAUCUAUCUACAUAUUCAUCUUACAUUCUGUAAUGAUAAUUGGUUUGUGAGAAAUUGAGUUUUUCCUUUUUCUUUUAGGAUCCUGAAAAUGUGAUGUAUAUCAAGUCGUUGGACCUAUCUGCUAAGGUACAUUUCUUUCUUUCAUUCGUUCAACAGAAUCUUACGAUAAGGCAUUAGUGUAAAUGUCAUAUUUGACUGUCAACUGGUAAUUGUUACAUUUUUUUUAAUUAACUAGUUGAUCUCUUGGAUUUCUCAUACUGUUGUAACUAUGGCUUAGCAUUUAUUUAUUUUCUUUGUCCAUACAGCAUGAUUGUGAGCGAGUCAAAAACACAAAAUUUACUCAUUCUGCAAAUGUAAUUUGCAAGAACAAGAUUGGGAUCUUGGGUAACAUGUAAUAUAUAGGUGCUUUUGCAUGGUCAUAUUUACUUUUUUGACAUGCUCUCUCAAAUGCAAUCAGUAGUGUGCAGAUAAUAUGCUGAAUGUGAGAAACGUAUGCAUCUGUCAAAACUGCUAUGUUAAUUGAUUGUGCCUUGUUAAGUUUACUGCCCUCUUAGCCAUGUUAGCAAAUGAAAUAGGUUCCUUGUGGGGAUCAAUUGGCUUUUUUGUUGGCCAACCUGUAUGCUUUGCCUCCUGACGGUUGGAUUUUAAUGCAUGCCUACUGUCACAGUCCACUGAAUAAGCACAUUUUUUGUUAGUUCUUUCAAAAAUCAAAAGGGAAAAAUUUGUGCAUUAGUUUUAAAAGUAGAUACCUGAGUUAGAAAUCAGAUAUUUCAAUCAAUAGAAAGAUCCCUACUUGCAGUGAAGUCAGACAGAUGUUAUAUCACUUGUUUUGCAUACGUUGAUAAUUGUAACCAAAAUAAUGUGGUUGGCUUCUAGUUGAUACCUGUUUUAUUUUCUCCCUCACGAACUUGAUCAAAUAUCACUAACAAAUUUUUUUUUUCCAUUUUAGUAUAUAUCACAUAAAUAAUCUCGAUGGCGCGUGUUGAAAAACUCCCUUACAUGCAUGGACAUCUCAACAUGCAGGGCAAUAAUUUGUCUCCCUGCUUUUCUUCUAAUUGAGGAGAGGUUAAUGCAUGCAUAAAUUGAGGUGCCUAAUGUGAAGAAACUAUCUUUCCUUAGGCCUAUCGAUCAUCACCAUUUUGUUCGUCCUGAUCUUCUAUCUUAAUUCUUUCCUUUCUUCUGUCUAUUUUUUCCUUUCUAUAUCAUAUUAAAUACGACUUCCUAUCUUUGUUAUUGUUAUGCUGGUUUCUUGAAGUUGAAAGUUUCUCCAAGUUUAUAUAAUGCUGGAUAUGCAGCUACUCCUUUUUUUUCUUGACAAUUUUCUCUCUCUUAUUUCUAUAUGCAUGCAUUAUUAAUAUAUGUGUUGUUGAUUUUCUUUAUGGAAGUUCAAAAGUUCUAUGUCCCAUAGAGCUGAAACAUCUUUAGCAGCCCUUAUUAUUGACAGCAAAUAAAUAUUUAUAAAAUAUAGAUGUCACUCAACCAGUCUGAAGCCCUUUUAACAAAUUUAACGCAGCUUUUUUCUGUUGUUGUGCAUCUUAUUCUUGCAUAUCCUUGAUAAAACAUAAAUUGGUACUGACACCUGCUUUUUGCAGGCACCUGAACUGCAUUUAGAGCUCCAAAGUCAGAUUGCCAGCCAACAAGUUUCACAGGGAACAUCCUCUGCCUCAAGUGCGAAGGUACUAUAUCCAUCUUUUCAUUUGUCGAAGACGAGUCUUUUAGCUUUUUGUUAUUUGUCUAAUGAUUUAUCUGAUUUACUGUUUUGGAAAUUAUUUUGUUCUUUGCGUAUUAAACUUUGCUAAUGACUCUUGGAUGGUAAAUUAUGUUAAUGUUGUUCGUCUUUCAGCUUCCUUUUUGCUGUGGUAAAUUUCGAAAUUCCGCCUCUAUUUUCUUUGAGCAACUUUCUAUGAACAGUUUUAAAUUGCCAUUGGCAGUUUUUUACUUUUAAAAUUUACAUAGUAUCCUUCUAGCUGACAGUAUAUAACUAUGGAAUUUUAUUAUCUUUCACUGAUAAUAUUACUACCUGGCAUCAUACAUAUCUGAUAAAUGCUUUACAGCUUGUAGCUAUUUAGAACCAGGUUGUGUAAACUACGCACAUUCUUUGGUGCAUAAGAGAAAGUGGUUUUUCGUGUUUAAGUUUUAGAAAUGUGUUUGUGCCAUCAAUAUCUUGCCAAAUAAUAGUUUACGUGGGGGAAAAAAAAUAGUGGGGGUAAGCUUAUGAUUUGUCUUUUGUACUUUGGCAAAUUUAAGUAAUUAAAUGCUCUGAUGGACAGCAAAUGUUGAAACUAUUUGUACCUCUCCUUUUUUGUUUACAAGUUGAUGUUACAACGUAAUCGGCGAUACUAAGAAUUGAUAGCAUAAAGGUUAAAAAAGAGCAACUGAAAGCGUAGCCAGAUGGUGUCCCAUCUCAUCUAAUAAACCAGAAACUUCUGUGUCAAAUUUUUUGGGUUUGGAAUUAAUAUUAUCACUGUUCAGCUCAUUAUCCUUUUAUUCUUCCCAGGCAACGAAGAGUAAGAAAAAAAAGAACAGUGACCUAAAGUACGACAUACUCGGGUGGGUGAUCCUCGCGGUGGGAAUUGUUGCGUGGGUGGGGAUGGCAAAAUCCCAUGCGCCUCCCACCCCUCCUCCCAGGUGAAGAGGCCUCCUACGAGCGAGUCUCUUAUAAAUCCACGCAUGCUGUGUUCUAAGUAAUAUUUGAACUGUUUUAGUGUGAGAUUUAAUGAGAUGAAAACUACAAGGGGCAUUGCGGAUAAAAUUGUGGAGCGUGUAGCUUCUUGAUUGAUGCUUUUCCCAGUUUCCUCUGAGCCGAAUGAUCGGUUCAGGGUAUACUCAGUUUUAGGUUAUAGCUGGUGUUUGUUUUUGGUUUUUUUCACUUUCUUUUUUGUCUGGAUCUUUAAUAUGAUUUUAGGAUAAAGAGCUUGUUACCAUGGUGUGGUUUCGGAAGGUUCUUUCUUUGCAAUAAUCUCUACAGGGUAAUGACUUUGGUUCCUCUGUAUUGCCAGAUCGAAAUAGUUGCUUUUUUAAGGACUUUGUCAAAUAUUUUAUAUGACUUUUUUAGUUCUGAAUUGUGCUGAUUUUUCUUGAUAAUCUUUAAUCUGGUGGAACAUAAAAGAUUUCAGGCAUUUAUCAUUUGGGUGAUUGAAAGUUGUUUAAGAAAAAUUAACCAAAUAUGAAACUGGACGCUUGAUUGAAGCAACAACUAAAAUGUUUUUUAGUUUAAUUGUGCCUCAUGAAGUUGGGAUUGCUAUGUAUAAUUGCGCUAAUGUUCGGAUCUGUUGGGCAUAUUUUGUUCCCAUUUUCUGCAGCUGAAGAAUCUCAUACGUCUUAUGCAUGCGUUGGUAAUCUUAACCUGGUUCAAACGUAGAAGACCCUGUAGACUUCUUAAGGCUUUUCCUUCCUUUUCUGUUCCUGCAUCUGCUCUUCUUCGGUUAGUUUCCUACCAUUCCUCGGAUCGGAGGGCCGAAGGGAAUACGUAUAAAUGAAGUCGAAGGAUUAAAGAGGCCUCUGUUUGAGCUUCAGCACAACUUCUCUAGUUGCCAAAAGUUGUAACAGGAUGGUUGUUAGUGAUUUUGUGGGUCAGUAAAUAUGUGCAAACUCGUAUAGCACAAUACAAAGGGUUAAAUAUUUAACAUUUUAGACAUCACAUUGUUACAUUUUAAAGUGCUUACAAGCUAUCAAACUUCAAUUUUUUGCUUCUAAUAGAAAAUAUAAGAUAAAAGGUAGAAUAAUAAUUUCUUAAAAAAUAAAAUUUGGUGUGAAUGGUACCCAGCGUGAGAUAGUUAUGAUAAGUGGUAGGUAUACGUACGCCCAACAAGUAAGAAUCCGAAACAAUUUUUAAUAUUAAAAAAAAUUAAUAAAAUAAGUACGAAGUACUGGCCGUCUGGCCCUCAAACAAAUAAGUAUAAAAUUUACAUUCACUUUUUGGCGCUUUCGGGUAGCAUUGCUCUCAUUACAUUGGAAAAUCUUAUAAAUAAACCUUCACUGAACUAAUCAUUCCUACAAAAUGAUAAUAACUCAUUUCAACAUUUAGAGAUUUUAUCUAAAAAGUUAAUUAAAAAUUAGGAAAAACAAGAGAAUUUUAUGUGACCAGCCAGUCUCAUCCCGCAUAAUACAACACCCAAAAAUAAUUUUAACUCAACAUAAGCUUACUAAAAUAAUUAGCGGAUCUCGCAAACAAAAACGGCAAAACCCCAACGCACUUUGGAGUAUGGAGAGAGACUUACUACCUCUUGCACUUGGCUUUGGCCAACUUCUUCCUCCUCUUCUUCUCGGCCUUUGGGAUCUUAGUCUUGCGAGACUCUCUCUUCUCUUCCUUCACUUUCUUCUUAUUCUCCUUGCGCUCCGCCCUCCUCUCUUCUGGACCCUUCUUCUGCUCCGCCUCGACCCAAGAACCGUCUUCAUCAGAGUCCGUGCAAGAUUCAUCUUCGUCUGUCUCUGAUUCGAAUUUACCCUCCACAGAACACUUACUUUGGAGGUCCUUCUCCAAGGGCUCCAGAGGAUUGUUUGGAACCGCUUCUGCUUUUGCUUCCGCCUUUUCUUCCAGCUGCCACUUUUGCUGCUGUUGGGCGGCUUCAGUUCGAGUGUUUACAAACCCUAAAAGGGGCUGGUCAUAAAUCUUUUCUGCUGUCGGCUCGUAAGCAAAAGUAGGGCGUGAAAGCAUCGCCAUCUGAACGAGAUCUGCCUCGCAUUGCUUUACAUAGUCCAACGUCUUCCAAAAUAUAAAGCAUUGACAGCACAAGCAACAAUAAAAAGUCAGCAGGUGCAUUGAUGAUCAGAGUAGGCAACUAGUUUUAGGUCCAAAAGAAUGUACAUUCACUAUUUUGACAGGGAGAAGUUAAUUAUUUAGAAAUUUAUUAUUUAUUUUUCUUCACGGAUUAAUAAUUAUGGUUAGGAAGUAUCGGAUGAAUCAAAGAAGCAUGCCUAGUGACUAAUUACAUAAUGCAUGAAUAUGCACAAGUACCUGCACAAACACUGUUGGGGCAAUUUCGUCAUCAUUGGCCACUGAACCUCCUCUUUCCAAAACUUUUUGCUGAAUCUGAUAUUAAACAUUGGGAAUCUCUUAGAGCCAAAAAAAAUAAAACAUUCGCCCCUUUGCAGCUAAAGGGAAGAAGAAUAGAACCCUCAAAAUUCUAAUUGUUUGAAAUUUUGAUGCAUCAAAGUUUGUUCCAUGUCAGCAUCCUAAUUAAAAUCGAAAUCUCAAAAAUCAGAAAAACAACAUGUUGGUGAAAUCCAGCAGAUUACCUUUCCUAGAUACUCAUCGACAUCUUCAUCCGCAAUUGAUGGGUCAAUCACGAAAUCAAAUAAUUCCUUGACUGUCAUUACAGCAACUCCAUGUUUCCUAAAGAACUCCUGGAAGGAGAAUUAAAACCGGUUAUUAGUUUAAUACAAGCAAUAACAUAUUUCGUUAGUGACUGAGGAAAAUAAUACAUACAGUGACAUGUAAGCAAUCUUCCUUAAGGAAGUCUAAUGCAGAUGGAUGAUCGAGAUCCACAGAUUGAGAAACAUCAAUUAUAUACAGGUGCCCCUGGAUGAUAUAAGGCAUCAAGGGAAAACAUAAAAUUUGCCAUAAGGGGUUCAACCAGAAUAGUUCACAUAACAAGAGAAGAUGAUAACUGACCUCAAAAUAGAGUAUGUUGUAUUCACUCAAAUCACCAUGAACCAAUUUGCACUUCUGGUACAAUGUUCGCAUUGUUGUAAUUAUCUGAGGGAAAAUCAAAACCGACCCAAAUUUAGAGAAAAACAAACUGACCAUGCACAUAUUUAUCAAGCAGUAGAAUUUGGAAUGAGCUAACUAUGAUUUAUACGAACAUAAAUUGUUUGCCCCAACAAAAUAAACAGUGGACAUUGCAGAAGUCAAAAUAUUCAAAAAUAGUAAAUCUUAAAUAGAAAACUAUUUUACACAAUUGAACUCAAUUAUAUUAUCUAUCAGAUCCAACUUCAAUCCAGACCCAGUUCUUAAACAGAUUUGAUGUGGAGCACAAUAUCAUCCAGCCAAAAGCAAGUCUAAGAUCCGAAAAUCAAAAGCACCUAGCAUUGGCUUUGUAUACAGUCGACAGCAUAUACUGUUUAAAAGGCCUUAUUGGUCAUUUUGACGGGUCAAUUAAAGCUAUUAACUUUGCUACUUGAACUCAUAUCUGCAUAGCUAUUACCAAGUGCAACUGCAAGUAGAGUAGGAAUUUUACCGUACCUCUACAUAAGCUUCACGCAACUUGUCUUCUGAAAGAGCAGCAUCCUUAAGGCGAGGAGCAGCCCAACCUGCCUUUCCUGAAACAAAGAGGCAUUCAAAAAAUCUUCCAGUAAGAUAACUAAACAUAAAUCCAGAUUGAUACAGUUAGAGCCCUACUAAAAAGUAGAAUUAGCCGCCACAUAUAAUGUUCUACAAAAUGAAAGUAAUAUAUAUAUAUAUAUAUAUAUAUAUAUAUAUAUAGAGAGAGAGAGAGAGAGAGAGAGAGAGAGAGAGAGAGAGUCCGGCUACUAUACUCUUAUGAGUACGAUCGCCCUCGUACUCAUAAGUCGUUUUCAAUGAUAGAGCUUCCAAAUCGACGAUUCAUACCGUAAAUGUUAGCUAGAGUAUUUAAAACUUCUAGAAACUAAAUUUCAUAAUUUUCGACAUCAUUUACCUUACGAUCAAAAGUUAACAAAAUUGACAAUUUUUAACGGCCGGUAUAGGAUACUUGCUAGUUUAACGGUGUAAAAGAAUUAGAAUAAGUUAAAUUUUUAAUAGAAAAUUCUAUUCACUACCUAGAUAAAGAUUAAUAACUCCAAUCUUAAAUUGAAGGAUCCGAGCAUCCAUUUUUAGGACAUUUUUCGAUUUUGACCGUUCAUUUUAUGCUCGCUUGAUAGACUUUAUUAUGAUUUCAAAAAAUUACGAAAUUUAUUGUCUAAAAAUUUCAAAUACUCUAGAUUAUAUUUAACAAAAUGGAUCGUUGAUUCGGAAGCUCCAUCAUUGAAAACAACUUAUGAGUACGAAGGGAGCCCUAUUCUCUCUCUCUCUCUCUCUCUCUCUCUCUAUAUAUAUAUAUAUAUAUAUAUCUAUAUAUAUAUAUGUAUGUAUGUAUAUAUAUCUAUAUAUAUAUAUGUACAUAUAUAUAAAUAAAUAGAAAAAAAAAGGUCAAUGAAGUGCAAACGAUUAUAACUUCUUUCCUCGAGUAUCAAAAAACAUUACCUAUAAAUUCCAUGACCAAGACAUGAAGUCUUAAGAGUAAUGGCAUUGGGCACCUGAUUCCCGCAGCUCUUACUCUAUCAAAAGAAAAGGAUGAAGAAAUAUUUUUCAAACAUAUUAGUUCGUUGCAUUAUUCAUGAUUACUCAAAUUAAAGAAGAUACAUAUGUAACUAAAAAUUAAAAAAAGCACAUUAUAAUAUAUUUAGAAGGCAGCUUUCUCUCACCGCAAAAGAUUCCGCAUUUCUUUCUCUGCCCAGGUUUUUACCAUUUUCCUUGGGUUGUGCUUGCAGUAACCAUGUCUGAAACGAUAAUCUCCUUGUACAUACCUAUCUCUGUCCCUGCAAUAAAGCAAUAGAUGCAAAAUAAAAACCAUUUUAUUGCAUUUUGAAAGCAAGUAGCUGCAAAAUUAAGAUUUAAUCGAUAGAAGUAACAAUAACUUACUUGAAAACAAGAACAGAAGUUUUGUACACUUUGACUGCUAAUUCCUGGCCAUCAGCUUUAGUUGCGUGAUAAACAUUAGCCUAUGUAGACAGCAAUUAGUGCAUGCAUUGAUAUGAAUCCUAUCACAUUUUAUUUCAUUACUCAAUAAUGUUGUAGAAUUCAUGUGUUAUGGAAAUGCUCCAAAUGAAAGAAAGUUAUUAAAAUAGAAGAACACCUCUUUCCCAGUUGAAAUGCAACCAUUAAUGUCGUUAAAAACCCCACGAUUCAACAUUUUGAACAAAACCAUUCGAGUUCUUGGAUCAAUAGCCUGCAAAAAAAAAAGAAAAAAAAAGAAUUACUUUUAUAACAUCGCACACAGACAAGUAAACCAUAAAAAUACUGAGCUAAUGUAUAAAUCAGAAGUCAAAAAAGCUUGGCUUGAUUUAAAUUAAAAAAAAAAAAAAAACCUGCUCAACAGUGGCACGAUCCGCUUUCUCCGUAUUCCUCGUUUUCCCAAUCGCCAUCUCCCGAACGCUAUCCCGUAUUGCCGUCGCCACUGAAUUCGACAUCCCCACAUCCAAUCUCCCUUCCCAUUCCUACAACAAUUGCAAUUAUAGAGCAUGGAUUAAGAACAAAACCCUACAAACGGAGAGGAGCGGAUCGAUAAAAGACCUCUAAGGGCUUGGCGCGGAUGUGGGAGGAGAACUUCUGGUUCCGAUUGGCGAGGGGCUGGAGGGGCCGGGAGAGGACGCCGCCGUGGGCGUUGGGGCGGCGCGCGGCGGCGGCACCGCCGGAGAAGGAGGCGGCGGCGGAGGCGGCGGCCGCGGCCGGGGAGGCGGCGGCGUCGUAACCCUCCCGCGCGUCCAACCAGUCUAGGGCGUCUCCCACCUCCGAAUCGGAGGACCACACCUCCUCUUCCUCUUCUUCCUCCUCCUCUUCCAUUACCACCUUUUCUACAUCGUCUUCUCCUCCUCCUCUACUCUGCGGUAGGAGCUCUCCCAUGGCGGAUUCGGCCAUGGCUCCUGCUUCGCUUCGAUUUUGCGGUCGCGGAAGCGAUUCUGAUCGAGGGGACGACGGAGAAGUAGAAGAAGAACAGAGGGCUUAUAAAACCCUAGAAGGAAACCAAACUCCGAGACACCGACCCCUCGGAGUUUAGGAAGUGUGUGCGCCGCGAACCGCUCUUUUAAAAUUAUUACCUAGAGUUGGUUCACCGCGUCGUCGGUGGACCGCUUAAGUAUUAUUCAAUCUACACUGCGUAAUGAGAGAGGCCUUAAAUAGUGGACGGCUCGGAUUGAAAGUAGAGAACUAACGGGAUAGAAGAGACAUGUGCCGUGGUGAACCAGGUCCACAUAUGGGAAAAGAUGUAUGAGACACGGCGGGCUACUGGUUGGUUGUGGUUCACCACGUCAGCAAUGCAACGUCUAAUAACACAUAUUUAUUUAUAUCUAUCAUUUCUCGAUUCGAGAAUAAGGUCCACAAUUGGCGUGAUGAACUAGUUUCAGGCUAUUCCAAUCUACUUACUUUCAACCAAGCUGAUUUCAAGGUCUGGAGUCUAUACAUAAGGUCCACGCAAUUUUCCCACGUCCGCAUGCGGAACCAUCCGUAGACUAACCCCCCGCACCAUGAACUCCCCAGCCCCCACACAAAUUUCCUUUGAGAGCGUCCGCAUACAUCCUUCUCGAAGGCCCCGGCCACUUCCGCACGUCUAUAAAUACAAAAGAGACCCACUCCGCUCCCGCAUAUUCCCCUUCUCGAAGCAACCCCACCCCGCUCACCGGUGAUCCAAAUGGCCUCCGCCACCGCCACCGCCUCCGCCGCCGCCGCCGUGCCGGGACUCUCCUUCCGCCGCGCCGUCGUCGGACUCCGCCGCCCGGCGGCGGCGCCGCCGCCCCUUCGGAAUUGGCGUCUCCGCGCCUCGUUCCCCUCCUCCUCCUUCUUCGCGACGCUGAAGCGAAGCCCUAAGCGGUUGAAGUACUCGUCUCAGCGCCUCUUCAAGGUUCCGAUCCUUCGUUUCCGCUUCUAAUCCAUGCCUCGAUUGCUAAAUCUACUGUAAGUUUGCCCCGGUUUUGGAUUUUCGUAUCGUUACGCAUUCGGAUUUUGGUGUAGUAGAAGGGAGAGGGGAUGGUAUACGUGAAGGUGGACCCUUCGGGAGAGGAUACGUGGAAGCUGGAGCCUAUCAUCGAUCUCAUUAAGGAAGGAGCAGUUGGGGUAAUCCCCACGGAUACUGUGUAUGCGCUUUGCUCGUCCUAUUCAUCUUUACAUUGUCCCUUAAGCAGUGAAUAAUUCGGUUUGCACUUUGAAUGAUUUAUGAGAUGUACCUGGUGUUGAAUCUCAUAAAAGAUAACUUAGUUGGAAGGUUUUUAUGAAUUAUGUUAGUGUAUUAUGUGUUGUUAAUGUGAUGAACAAAUUCAACUUGUCCCUUAUAAAGCCACAAAACAUGAAAACUUGAUCAACAUGAGCUUCACCCGUUCAUGUGAUGGUUCAUUCUUGCAGUGAUUGCAAAACAUUUGUAAGGGGCGCUCAUUCAAAUCUUUUGCAUGUUAAUUCGUCAAUAAUAACUUGUCUUAGAUUGAAUUCGGGCCUUAAGAUUGCAUUAGACUUGUGAGAUCAUUUUAAUAGGGCUUGUAGUUGAUAAUGCUGAAAACUUUCCACCUUAUUGGCAAGAAUGCAGGUUUUAAGCACUCCUGGCGCUCAAUCAUCAUCUAAUGGCUAAUAUGUAUCUAGUCUUUGGAUAUUUGGAUAAUUAGUUUUGUAGGUUCUUUUAUGCUCAAUGGACCUAUUCAAAUUAUUAAUUAAAGUGAACUGAAUUGACCGAAAUGACUCAAUGAUUUGGCUCCGUAAUUCAUUUCAGACCGAAUAGGCACACCCUGUGCGAACGCAUGCAUGGUUGCUUUUAUGUGCGUGUGUGCUUGCACAGGGGGGUUGUUCGCAUGUACAUCUGUGUUUUUAAUCAACUGGCUAAUUUAUAUCUUGAAAUAUACUAUUGCUCAAUUAAAGUUGGAUUUUCAGUACUUUUUUCAUUACAGCAAAUAUUUUCUCUGUUAUUUACAUGUUACCAUUUGGCUAUGUGUUUCUCUUGAUUUCAGCUACUCAAUUGUUUGUGAUCUGAAAAUUCCCUCUUCCAUUGAGCGCCUUCGCAGGUAUGAUACACUCCCUAUCUCACUUUAAUCUGUUUAGCGCCUACAAAUUGUAAUAUUUUUAAGUGUAAAAGUCUUUUUUGACAGUCAUCUUUUGCUUCUUUUUGCAGAAUCAAAGGCAUAGGAGACUCAAAGGCAAGACAUAUCCAUGCCACCAAGUAAAUGUUAAAAUGUGUAUGAAACUUACUGCAGGAACGAAAUACAAAUGACAGGAUAAAUUUUUCUUGGGGCUCUUCCACAUAUAUUCUUGCAAAAUUAUCUGUCUACUUAUGUAUAUACAAAUUAAAGUUAAGAUUUUGUAGGGAUACGUAUGUUGAUAGAUAAUUUUGCAAGCAUGUAUAUCUAAAUAUUUCACUGCGCUUAUAGCUUUGGAAAAUCAACUAUGUUCAUAUAUAUACCUGUAACAACCUAGUCCACUAUAAUAACUCGUUCGGCCCAAACCACUAGCCCAAGAUACUUAAGUCUAGUUAUUCAUGCAAGAGUUUUUGAUCCUUAUAUAUCCAAUCAUAAUUCCUUUCUUAUCCGAUAUAAGACUAUUUGGGUGUCACACAGUCGCCUCGUUUAGACCUUAAUAUCCUGAUCAAGCCCAAGUCCAAUCACAUACAUAGUUCAGAAUCAUCUGGCGCUAGGGGUGUAAAUGAGCCGAACACGAGCGAGCUGGGGUCGGCUCGUGUUUGGCUCGUUUAUUAAACGAGUCGAAUACUAGCUGGCUCGUUAAAGUAUCGAGCCGAAAAAUUCAGCUCGUGUUCCGCUCGUUUAUUAACCAGCCGAAUACGAGCUGGCUCACGAGCUAGCCAACGAACAAUAAAUUAAAAAGGAUUAGAUUAAAUAUAUAUAAAAAAUAAAUUUAUAAAAUCUUAUCCAUUAUACUUUGAUCUAAUAGCUGAAACUUUACAUAUAAAUAAGUCUUUUUAUAAUUAAGCUCGCAUUUUUAUUUUUAUUUUGCUAAAAAUUAAAUAAUAAAAAUAUAUAUAUUAUAUAUAUAAUUAUUUAUUUAUAUUAUAUAAAAAUAUAAAUUAAAUAAUUACAUAAAUAUAAAAUAUAUGUAUUCGAGCUGUUAUCGAGCCGAACACGAGCGAGCUAACCCAGCUCGUGUUUGGCUCGUUUAUUAAACGAGCUGAAAAAUUCAGCUCGUGUUUCGGCUCGUUUACUAAACGAGCGAUUCGAUCUCGAGCCUAUUUCGAGCCGAACACGAGCUGGCUCGCCGAACAGCGAGCUGGAUUGCCACCCCUAUCUGGCGCUGUGAGAUUCUAAACGUGGCUCAUACGGGUUCAAGAGAUGACUUCUACCAAAUCCGUGGUGUAGCAUUUUAUUCCGCAUAACACUUAACUAUCACACUUAUGGUUGGCGAACUAUCUUUAAUACCAAAUGAAACUAUCUAGUCCACUAUAACUAAUAAUUCAUGGGACCGAAACGACUAGUCCAAAAUGCUUAACUAAGUAAUUAAUAUUAGCGUCCUUGAUCCUUGUACAUCUAAUCAUAAUCUCCUUUUCAUCCAAUGUGAGACUAUUCAGGUGUCAUAUAUCUGGUAUAUGAAUUUUCAUAUCUUCUCAAGUUGCUUUUGGAAACACCCUUAUCUUAAGUUGGAAGUUGGGUAGUCACUCAAUUCAUUGAAGUUGGUUUGAAUUAGGUAUUUGUUAGGACUAAAGAGAGGCCUUUUUUAAGUGCUAGGAUAUAUGUGUAAGAGCUCAAUUUUUUGAAAGACAUAUAUCAAAAUUCAAAUUGUGUAAGGGUAUGUUUGUAAAUAGAUUAUUUUGCACCUCAUUUUUCAUUUUUCUUGCUGAUGGUGAUGUUAAGCUGUGAGAAGGUUAAACAAUGUUAUGCACUUUCUUGCACCACUUAUCCUGCACUUUCCUUACUUGAUCUAUACUUACUGAUGCAGCCACUUAGUAUUCUGUGCCACUCUUUGAAAGACAUAGACACCUACACAACAGGAUUUCCUCGUGGUAAUAACCAAGGUCAAACAAAUAUAUUUCGAGCUGUUAAACAUUGUUUGCCUGGGCCGGUGAGGAUCAUCUUUUUGAAGUUUUAAAUUUCUUAAAUGGUACAUUUCAGGGGCCAUUUUGCAUAUAUAUAUAUAUAUAUAUAUAUAUAUAUAUAUAUAUAUAUAUAUAUAUAUAUAAAACCCUGCAAUUAUGUAGGAUUUCUUAAAUACUUCUCCUGGCGAUUAUGUGAGAUUUCUUAAAUACUUCUCGAGGCACAGAUGUAAGAUUUCUUAAAUAGCUCUGCAAAGGUGGUAUUUGCAUGUGUCCUCCUAGGAACCUUGUUUAUUUGGGGAUUGUCAGCACAUGCUGUUGAGGCAGAUCUAUUCAAUUACAGUUUUUGCACGGAUAUCUUGGCAGUGGCAUAAUAUCUGGUUUUCAGAGGAAUGCGGGCAAAUACCAAAUUUGCAGGGGUACUUGUGCUGUUUCACAUACUUCCAUGGGGUGCAUAAGCAAAAAACAAAUAAAAAGAAACAUUUUUUUUUCUCAGCUAGAUAGAAUAUAACUAUCACUAUUUUAUCCUUUAACCAGUACACUUUUAUUUUACCUGCGAGUAAACAACUGCCAAAACAAUGCAUAAGAAAUGGAGCCACUACUAAAUAUGCACAAAGGAAGCAUGUUGGUGUUCGUAUACCAGAUGAUGUCAUAUGCCAAGCUAUAUUGCAGAGGUUGGAUGCGCCUUUGAUAUGCACAAGGUUGUAAUUACCGAACUAGCAAAUUUCAUUUUUGCUAUAUUAUAGAGAACUUAGUCAUAAUUGUUUCCGAACAAAGCUCGGCGGCUAACAACGUUUAGUUGAUGCAGUGUGAAGUGGCCUUCUGAAGAUCAGUGGAUACUUGAUCCUGCUAUUAUUGCAGAUGUUUACGAGAAAGAGGUAUACAAUUGUCUGAACGAUUUCUCGUGCCCCUUCCCUCUCUCACUUCGGCGUUCCUGCCCCCCAUUUCUCUCAUGUCCCGGAAAUUUUCAAAUAUGGGGCUGUUUGGAUUGAUGUUAUUGUAGUUUGGUUGAAAACAAUCAAGUUUGGUGAGAAUAAAAAUAUUGGAUUUUGGAUCUUUCUACGAAAAAUGACUUUGGAACAAUUCAAAAGGAACUUGUUGUCAAGAAUUUAAGCCAUGACUAACUACCGGAUCUUCUUGGUGUUUUCAUGAUGGAUGACAAGAUUAAUGUGAUUACUCUUAAUUAACUUGAUUUAUGACUAAAUUGCAACUUUAUCAAUCCAAAAGCCCCCUAUCUGGUUCUCUGGCUUGAAAGGAGGUUCAUGGGUUUUUUGGUAGCUUGAAUUCCUGAACCUGGUCAAGCAGGAAGUUUCUACCUAAGAAAUGAGAACUAUUCUAUUUGAUAGGUUGAGAUUAAAACCUUGAUUCUUGGAAAUUGAACACAAUGGCUUUUAUUUUUCUUUUCCUUUUUUUCCAGGGUCUUGAUUUUGUAGUUGAUGGUGGUCUCAGAGUGGCUGACCCAUCCACUGUUGUUGAUAUGACUGGAAGCUAUCCUAGGAUAAUUCGACAAGGAAAGGUAUAGUUAAUCAACACAAUGACUAAAAUAGAAAAGACAAUUAAUUGAGACUCAAAUCAUCUCUUUUGCUGCUAUUUAGGGCCCAAAGUUAGACUGGAUGGUAGCGGAAGGCGAAGAUCAUGGUCCACAACCAGAGCUGGCUGUUCUUCAAGCGGCUUGAAGGUAAUUCUGCCAACAAAAUGGUCUCCCAUUUUAUUGUUUUCAUUUUUCUGCUUUGGUUGACAGCUUCCUUUACUGAUCAUAAAGGACUACACUUUUAGAAAAAGACACUGUACAUAUGCAAGCAACAUGAUCUUGAGUAGCUGUUUAGUAGCUGACCAUGUAGUUCAUACUAGAAUCGCCUAAGUUGCCUGUACAUGAAAAUGUAGUAUUUCCCUGUUAUGCUUCGAACAUGGUUUUAGGAGGACUUGUUUAUAUUGCUGCAUCUUUGUAGCUACUUAGAUUUAACUUGAAUUGGAAAAUAUGAUGCUGUUAAUUUGUAUAGCUGAACUCGUACUAAAUAAAUAAAAUUUUGUUUCUUCAAUUUACAGCGUGGCCUUGUUGUUUCAUUAUUAUCUCCUAAUUUCAUUUCUCUUUAUCGAGUCAUAAAAGUCCCAUGCUGCCUGAUACUGAAAUCAUUAAGUAUUAGGGCCUCGUGUAUCUCUUUCUAGCAAAAGAGAACCAUGAUAAUUUUCCUGUAAAGUGCAAUUCCUGGACAGAUUAGGAAAACAUCAUUUACAAAUGGAAUCUUGAAACAAUUGGUAUGUUAAACUACCAGAUAUGCUAGAUGAAUAAAGUGACGUGCUUAUCGGUUUUUAAUGUUCUUUACGUGUUCCGCUUUUCUGCUAUACAAGUUUAUUGUGGUUAUAUGCUCAGCGGUACGUAAAAUGUUGUUUAAAAAUUGCUUCUUAUUUGCAUAGUAGUACCCAGCUUGAUCAUAUUGGCAUGUGAGCAGCCUCACCUCUUUACUCCAACUGAACUUCAGGCAUCAACAAAAUGUAGCUGCAUCUCAGUAGAACUUCUGAUAGCAAUCGAACAUGGUCUAUUUUGCAUUACAUAAUUUCUUCUCCCUUGCUUGUUUACAAGGAGGUAUUUGUUUUUGCUCUUUGAUUUCUAAUGCAUAUAAUAGAAACUUUGAUUCGAAACUAUUAUGUUACUUGGGAGAUUGUUUCACUUGCCAAAACUUAAAAAAGAGAAUUUGCUAUUGAGUGAAACUGAAAUACAUGGUAUACCUUUUGCCUUAAUUGUGCUUUUUAACUCAUUCCAGUAAAGCUAGAAAAAGUAGAAAAGUAUCAGUGUGAUCAAAGGAAAUAACAAGAAGAAAGUAAGUUUUUCGUUUUUUUUUUUUUGUUUUUUCCUCCUCGCAGUUUUUGUCUUAUGCCUCAACUCUCAGAAUCCGUUAGAUAAAACCUGUGGUUCUUUUUCCUCCUUUUUUUUUUUUUUUGUCGACUGAACAAUCAGAAGGGAUUCGUCGAAGUGCAUCCAUAACACAAUUUUGGCAGAAACACUUGAUUUAAUCUUUCAUUCCUUCACCAUGCAGUUAAAUCAAUAAUAGGUCAUAAAUUAAUUGAUUCAUGUUAGGUUAUUAAACCCAGACCGGGGGGAUAUUUUCUGAAGAGUUGUGCUACACGUACCCAAGGACGUUUCUCUUGUAGAUCAACGUUCUAUACUACUAUACUAUAGAUGGUAUAGAUAUAGAACGUGAACGAUUGUUGUUCUUUAAAAAUUUAAGCUAUUUAAAUAUAUAUAUUUUUUGAUUAUAAAUAUUUAAUAUUUUCUCUUAUAUCUGGGCUUAAACUAUUUUAAUUGGUUUAAAACGUGAACUUAAAUUAAAUCAAAGAAAAUUAAUAAUAUUAAAAGUUUGAUAGAAUUCGAACUCAAAAUUUUUUACUGUAGUAUCAUAUUCCUCGGUGUUUAAUAGCUUAAAUUUUUAAAGAACAACAAUUAUUUUAUAUUCUUUAACAAUAAACACUUAAAUGACUCAGGCAUCAACGGCUCAGAAAAUCCUUCACUUGUUUAUAAGAGGAUCAAACCUUUUUUUUUUUUUUUUUUUUUCUUUUGUAGACUCACACAGCAAAGGCUCAGAAAACCCUUCCCUUUUAAGAGGUUCAAACAAUUUUUUAUUUCUUUCGUAAAUAUUGUUUUUUCUAAUUCAAUUGAACAUAUGCGGCGAAUGACUCAUUGACAUUUCCUACAGUCCUUCCAGCUAAAAGAGAAAGGUAUCCUGCGUGCCUACCGACCGAGGUUACUCGUAAGUUUCAAAUCUUUACCUAAUAUUUUAUUUAGCCAAUAUUUGAAUAUGUCAUAAAUUUAUCACACUAAGCUCUUACGUUCUGCAUCUCGCGAUUAGUCGAUUAUAAUAUAUUUUCUACAGUUCUACUAAAAAACACAAAAAUAUAUUUUUAUAUAUUUUUAUCCUAUUUUUAUUUUAUGUAAUAGCACUAGUUAGACUUCAAUAUCAAUUUUAGGCCGUAAAAAGAUCGGUUAACCCAACCCUUUUUUUUUUUUUUUGCCCCGUAGAAUUAGGUCAUUAAAAGAGGAGCAGGAUCAUUCGAAUGGAUUUUUUUUUUUUUUUCUUUCGACAACUUUUAUUUAUUUCCAUGUGAGAGGGCCCAGAAACCUAAAAAGAGACGAGACACAAAUAUGGGGGAAGGAGAGGCAGAGGGAGAGAGGACAUAUGCAUACACGAACGUAUGUUUCCUCGCGCGUGCGCGACUCCCGAGAAUAAGUCCUCGUCUUGAUGACGCGGCAUCUGUGAUUGGGCUGUCAAUCUCUGGUGCGCACAUGGUGGCGGUCGUCACCCGUCAGUCGGUUCCCCCACCCUUCGUACGGCCGACCAGAAUCAAUAAUAACAACAACAAAAAAUAACAUUACUGCAAUGGAUACACGUAAACCGUUCUCAGCGCAGGUGACAAAAAAUUUAAUAACUAAUAUUUAAAAUUUUAAUUAAUUUAUAUUUUUCGUUAUGUUUUUUAAAAAAGGAUUAUUAUGAAUAUACCGAAUAAUAGAGAGAUGAAUCUUAAAUUUCCCCGUACAAUGAUUUCUUUAUAAAAAUUAAAAUUAUAAGUAUGAAAAAUAAAAAAUAAAAUGGCAAAAGAAGAACUAAAUGUAAAUAUUCUAACUAAAUUACUAUGCUACUUGGGCUCCCUAACAAGAAUGUAAAUCUUAUGUUCGUUCGUUCAAGAGUUCACCUCGCUCUCUUGUGUUGUCACUUUUUUUCUAAAAUUAAAAAUCUAGAGUUUGGGGUAAAUUCUACACAAUUUUAAAUUUAAAAAAAAUUUGAUGCGAUAAGUGAGUAAAUUUAGACCAAAAAAGCGGACGGUGUAAGAUUUACACCAUUAUUAUAGCUAUGUUAUAGCUGCACAAGUAGCAAUACUCUCAAAAUUUUCAAUUACUUAAAUAUUUUAUAUGAUUGUAAAUAAAUAGUAUAAUUAUGAAUAAUAUAAUAAUUUUAUAUUAAAAUAAUAUUUUAUUUUAUUUUUGUUUUUAUUAUUAUGUCCACUAUAAGGAUCAUUAAUUAACUAUUAUUGUUUUUAUAUUGAAUAACUGCAUAACAUGGCCAUAUAUAUAUGGGUUGGAGUUGGAUGCCCUAGUGCUUUCGAGACUUGUGUGGUUCAGCUUGUGCUUUUAUUUUUGAUAAUCAACACUAAAAUUAGGUUUUUCAUUCUUAAAUUUGAAAACUCUAAUUUUUACAAAUAUUUAUAAUACCUUUUCAAUUACUAUUUAUUUGAAUAUUAUUUUUAUUCGAGAAUGUUAUGCUCUACAGCAGUAGAAGCAAGCUGACCCCUAAUCCAACUCACCGAAACCCAACAAUUUGUUUUAUUUGCUUUUGAAAAUUUUCCCCUCUUUUUUUAAAGAAAAAUUAAGCACUAGAUAUUAGAUAAUCUUUUAAAUUAAUUGGUUAGGGGAUAGGAAUAGGGAUAGGGAUAGGUCUUUAUCCCCUUUAUACCCAAACGCUAAUUUUUUAUCCGAGAACAGUAAUUUUCAGUUACCUAUAAUAAUCGGUUAUAACUAUUCCUAACAACACCUCUAUUUUCUAUAUAAAACUAUUUAAUAUUUUUUUAUAUUCUAUAUUAUUUAUUCAAACGCUAUUUUUUUUAUUUUUAUACUUAUAUUUAUUCCUGCAAUAGCUAGUUUUUAUUUGUAGCCGAACCAAAUCGGUAUAAAAAUUUUUUUGUCACAGUACGGCCACAGAAAUGGGAACCCAGUGGGCAUCUUUCUUUUCGGAAGAUCCUCUACAUGGCAGGUGUAGAAAAUUUCCUUAUUUCUCCUUACAUGUCACAUUAUGAUUGGAUCACGAUAUUAAUUAAUUGCAAAAUAAAACAUACAUCAACUUAUAGCAACCAAUGUAGUCAUGCCACCUACAUCUAGUAUAUAUUGUAGAGAAAACUCUCUCUCUCUCUCUCUCUCUCUCUCUCUCUCUCUCUCUCUCUCUCUACAUGUUUACAAAGCACACUCCAUGUGAUCUCUCUGCUACUCCCACCUCAUCUCAACCACAACCAAAGAGAGAGAGAAACCCCCCCUCUCCUCCAAAACACAUGACAUGAUGCAGAGAAUUGAAACAAAGCCACAGCUCACAACUAACACACCAUACAACUACAAAGAUCCAUUAUUUCUUCCUUGGCCACUUCUGUGUGUUCAAAUUUUGAAAUGCAUCAUUAUCACAUGUUUGGCCCCACUGUAUGUAUUAUCGUCAUAGUACUGUUCGAUAUAGUAUUAUCUAAAAAAUAUUAUUUAAUUAGUCAAUCUUCUAUAUAAAAAGCCUUGUGAUUGACAUAAGUGGUUACAGAAGAAAAUACUCUACACCUGACCUAGUAAACAAAUUUUCUUUAAAAAAAUAGUAUAAUAAUGUUUAUGGGAUUGGAGUCCAUAAUGGUUUUUUUAAAAAAAUUUAUCAAAUCUUUUAUUUGAGAUCACUUCAGUGCAUUUCUCAUCCAAAUUGGCUGUGGUAAAAUUUAUUUGUUAACAGUUUCAUAUGGUACAAUUUGUAUUGAGGAGACUUCGUCCCUAUAUAAAUAUAUAUAUAUAUAUAAUUGAGCUAGAAUACUUUUACAAGUAUCACCCCUUUGGUGCUAUUAGGUUUUUAGCCCUUGGAUCUACUCCUUGAUUACUAAUAGCCCUUGGAUCAAACACUAUUUCAUCUACCACCACCUACCACCAUCAUCCCAACCCUACAUUUCUCUAUCCAAGAGUUAAAAACUCACAAGCACCAUCCUUUUGAUGCUUUUAGAAGUAUUCUAGCUCAACUAUAUAUAUAUAUAUCCUCAAUAUUUGUUGUCACGUGGUAAGUUUUUCUUUACCCUCACUAGCAUGUGACUUUUCUUAUUUCCAUCACUAAAUUUUUAAUAUACAUUUUAACGGUCCAAUUAACCAAACUUUCAAUUAGUGCAUUUAAAUGGUCUCACUAUCUUUCCUCCACUAUACUUUCAAUUAAUAUAAAUGAUUUCACUACCAAACUUCCAAUUAGUAUAUUUAAAUGGUCCUACUACUAUCUACGAUCCUAAUCUCUCUAUGUCUAAUUAUUCAUCAUAUUCACUAAAUUUUCAAUAUGCAUUUUAACGGUCUCAUUAAUCAAACUUUCAAUUAAUGCAUUUAAAUGGUCUCACUACCUUCCCUCCACUACUUUCAAUUAAUGUAAAUGGUUCCACCACCAAACUUCUAAUUAGUAUAUUUAAAUAGUCCUACUACUAUCUAGUAUCCUAACCUCUAACCUCCAAUUAUUCUUCAUGACGUCAUGACCCCUUUUCCUCCUUCCAUCGAACUUUCAAUUCUUUAUCUCCGAUUUGUUCAUUAAUUCUUUAUUUAUCAUUUUUAGCUACACACUAUCGCCUCCUCCCCUGCCCCCCCCCUCGCCUUCUCUCUCUCUCUCUCUCUCUCUCUCUCAUGUGCACCCAAUUCUUUCUUCCGCCACGGUCGGAGAGAUCGUCGUUGCCGUCAUUAUCAACAUUGCAGGAAAAGGCAUCGUCGGGUUCAUAUCUACCGCCUACAAUGAGAUACAUUUAGUAGAUGUGCCAAAUGAGAUCCACAAAAAAAUAUUUAAUAUUUUAUUAUUAUUAAUUACUAUUAUGAUUUCUAUUCGCUGCAAAGCGCGGGUCUUUUUACUAUAGUGUAUAUAUAUAUAUAUAUAUAUAUAUAUAUAUAUAUAGAGAGAGAGAGAGAGAGAGAGAGAGAGAGAGAGUAGGGCUAUAGAAUACUUGUAAAAAUAUCAUGGGGUUAACUUUGUGUUAUUAGCACUUUUUUGGAAGAUGAGUUGAAAUAUGGUGGCGUUAGGUGGUGGAGGUGGAAUAGUUUUUUAAUCCAAGGACUAUUAAAUAAUCAAAAAUUAAUCUAAAUGCUUAAAACCUAAUAGCACUGUGAUGUGAUACUUGUAAAAGUAUCAUUAGCUCAAAACUCUUUCUCUCUCCUCUCUCUCCUAUCUAUAUAUAUAUAGUACACAUAUAUAUAUAUUUCUUCAAUAAGGUGUCCAAUCAAAAAGACGUUUGUGGGGAAAAAAAGCAGCCCACUGUCUAUCUGAAUCUCUGACAAUAAGCAGCAAAAGUAUAAUUACUAGUUAUCACUAAAUUUAAAUUUAGCAAGAGUGCUACAUAAUUCUGCCAAUUUGCAUAAAAAAAUUCACAUUAUUCUUGACUUUUGAAAAACCGGGCCACCUUUUUCGAUUUGCAAUCGCUAGCUUUUUCACAGUGCAAACGACCAAAAUAUCUCAUAUACUUUUUCGUCUUUCCUCUUUUCUCUCUCUCUCUCGUUUAUGUCGUUCUUAUUUUUUUCUGCGCCGAAUAAAUAGCGGAUCGAACCGUCGCCUCCCUCUCUCACGACCUCAUCCUCUUCACCCUUGCUCCUCACUCACCCCUUCCACCGCGCCCCGACCACCUCCUCCUCUCCCCCCGCCGCCGGCCUGACCACCCCACGAACCCGUUCGUCUCCGUCGCCGUCCGAGCCCACCAUGGCGGCGACGGCCCCAUUUGCCGCCGUCACCCGUCGUUCUCUCGUCGCCUGAGCCGCUCUCCGCCGCACGUCGCUCGUCAGCUGUCGUUGGCAGCGGCGGAUGAAGAGGCUUGCGGACAGUUCGCGCGGCGGCUGAGCGUAGCGACUCCGGAUUGGCGCGCGGUGUGCUCUGCCGGCACUGCCGUCACAGGCGUCCGCGUUCGCCUAACUACAUCUCGCCAUCGCGCAAGCCAGCCGGACCUCUGUCCAGCUGCUGCUAGAGUUCGCGCCGUUAACCGAUCCCCCCACUGAGCCCGGCGCGGCCGACCCCCCGGCCGCUUGAGCGUCGCGGCGGCGGGGGAGGCCUGAUCGCGGCUGCUCUUGGCGCGGGCCAAAGGCGUGCGGCCCGGUCGGCGGCGGAGUUGGUCCCGGUGCAACAAGCGCGUCGGCGCAGGCACGCUGCGGCUGCUCUUCUCUUCUUCAUAGUGUAAUGGUGCACCAUCUACACAUUAAUGGUAAAGGUGCAACCAUUAAUGUUAAUGGUGCAAUGGUGCACGCAUUACACAUUAAUGGGCGUGGCUGGCGACGGCAACGGAGAACGGUGACGCGACGAAGACUCACGGUGGGGUACGAGGCUCACAAGGGAGUACGAGGAGAGAUUGACGGUGACCGAGCGCGUCGCAAGGGGCGGUACUGGCUAUCGCGACCGGCUGACGCCGAUGAGCCGACGGUGGGCUGGCUCGCGCGGCGGCGGGGGAGAGAAGGGGCUCGUACAGCGGACUUCGCUGAAACGGGAACGAUCGGGAACUCUCGAGCCUGAGCUUGACGAGGAGCUUGCUCCGCCCCUGGGCACUUCGUGACCGACGCGCGGCGGUUUCGCAUUUGGAGGCUAGGUAGGACGCGGACUUUGCGGCUGCCUUGAGGAGGCGACGGGGAGUGAAAGGGGCUUUGAUGAGUGAAAGAAAGAGGAGAAGAGAAAAGGUAGCGAGACGACGGUAGGUGGCUCGGCGGCGGCUGGCGGGAAAGGAGGAGGGUUCGGCUUGCGGAGGCGGAGGAGGGGCUCGGCGGCGGGCUCGAAAAAAGAACGAAAAAAAAAUAUAUAAUAAGGGUAUUUUGGUCAGUUUACUGAAAAAACGGACCGAAUCUGCAAAAACGAAAAAAGUGAUCCAAUUUUGCAAAAGCCCAAAAUAAGUGGAUUUUUUAUGCAAAAAGGCCUAGAUUCUUCAAAGUGCUGGCCUAUUAAUUAAUUCACUUAACGUAAAUUAUGGUAUUAUAUGAAUAAAUAUGUCAACAUAUUAAGAACCAAUAGACAUUACUUUUUUCUUAAGGAUACCUGUUUAUUUUCCGUUAUUAUCCAUCGUGAGAUUUUUUUUUUUAAAUCAGCCUUUUUAAUAUCAAUUUUUCACUAUUUGUCUACAGUGAUGUGUUGACGACAACUUAGCAAAAUCGACAAAAACUUCAACUGAAUGGCGAUUUGCAUCAAAAAGACUGUUUAUGUUGUUUUCUCCUGCUAACUUUUUAGAGUUAGCUGAUAGAUAAGGACACUAAUGUUCAAAGAGGUGUAAGAUAUAAACUGGCGCUAAAAUAUUAAUUAUUACUUGUAUAGAAAUAAUAUUUAGUGUCCACUUUUUUUCGUUAGAUGCCUUGAGUUUACUAUACGGUAGUUAUAGAUUCAAGAGCUAAAGAGUUAAUAGUAAAUAUUAUGUAUCUACUAUAAAUAGUAUUCUACCUAGACUUGUGAGAUAUAUAUAUAUUCUUUUUUCUGUAUAAAUUACAAAGCCAAGUCCUUUCUUAGCAGUUUGGUGCAGUCUCUCUCUUUGCAUGAGGCCUUAAGUUAGAUUAUUUGUAGUACUAGCUAGCCAGUUUCAGUAAUCUUUGAUGCUCUUUUUGAGACACUCUGAACACUGCUUAGUUCGGUAAGAUCUUUCAUUUAACUAAUUAACAUAACUUACAUUGCAAUAAAUAGAAAAUGAGAAAGAAAUAGGGGGAAAAGAGAAAGGUUCAGAGCCUAUUUCAAAGUGGCCUAUAAAUAAAUCUAUAAUAAUUGAGAGGUCCCCAAACGCUCUGAUGCUGCACGCUUUACCUCAUAGAAUUGAUCAAAAGGAAAAAAAAAAGAAAAAAAGAAAAAAAAAAAAANAUAAAUCUAUAAUAAUUGAGAGGUCCCCAAACGCUCUGAUGCUGCACGCUUUACCUCAUAGAAUUGAUCAAAAGGAAAAAAAAAAGAAAAAAAAAAAAAAAAAAAAAAAAGAAAGAAAAUUAAAAAGAAAAAAAAAGUACCAAGUGUCCAACACUUUUUUAGGAAUCUCCAUUCAAAGGAAAUACAUGCACUUCAUUUUUUUUUUAAAAAAAAGAAAGAUAAAAAGAAAAACUAACCUUCUAAUUAAGAGGCCGUGAUUAGAUAAAUUACACACAAUACAUUGCAAAAAGAUAGAAAAUGAGAUCCAUAAUAGUAGUCUCUAUACAUACACAUAAAUUACCAUAGCUAGAUAGAUAGAUAGAUAGAUAGAUAGAUAUAUAUAUAUAUACACAUGCAUCAAUUAAUAAACCUUCUUAGAGAAAAUGGUUCUUAGAUUAAACAUACUCCCAUUCCCUCCACCACCAUCACCACCACCACCGCCACCGCCACCGCCGCCACUAUCACCGCCAUCACUGCCGCUACUAGUGUUGCCGCUCCUCCGACCACUGCCUCCGGCCCGGCACCCCGCCGGGUUCGGGUACCCGAUGCAGGUGUUCACGUUCAAAUUUAGCACCCGAACUCCGCCCCCGCCACCGCCUCCCGAUCCUUUCUUGCUGCUGCUGCUGCUGCUGUCGGCACCGUUUUCAUCGCCGCCGCGAAUAUUUGAUUUCUCUAAUUCUUGGCUGCUCUUGCUCUUGCUCUUUUUCCGCAGCUGCCAUAUCGUCACCGGGCCGGUCCGGCCGAGGUGGAUGCCGCCGUUGGGCCCGACGCGGCUCACGCGUGGGGCCCACCUUCUUAGGUUUGUGGUGGCGGUGGCGGUGGCGGUGGCGGUGGCAGCAGGCGGCUUGGCGGAGGACUCUCCGCAGGAGCGGCUGCGUGAAAAGGGCCAGAUGUUGAUGUUUAUCAGCUCCGCGUGGCUGCCGGCACUUCCCCUCCUCAUCUCCUUACCGCUGCUGCUGCUAUUAUUAUUAUUAGUAGUAGUAGUAGUAGUAUUACUAGUAUUGCUAGUAUUGCUGCUGCUGCUGUUAGUGGUGCUGCCGCUGCUGUUUCUUCUUUCUCUCUCCUCGAGCUUUCGCUCUCUGGCGAGCUUGAAUAGCUCUCUCCAGAUGCUGUAAGAGGCGAUCGGGGGAGGGGAGGAAGGGGGAGGAGGGGAGACGAAGUGUGGUGGGUGUUGUUGCGGAUUCGGUGGUGGUGGUGGUGGUGGUGGUGGUGGUUCUUCUUGUUUUGCUUCUCCUCCUCCUCCUCCUCCUUCUUCUCCUUCCUCCUCGUCUUCUUGUUCAUGGUGUUGUUGGGAUGCGUUUGUGUUGUCGGUGGUGGCGGUGGUGGUGGGGUUGGGUUGGGAGGGGAGGGAGAGGAGGUGGAGGGGGAGGAGGACGCCGUCGACGAAGAGCUCGUCGGCGGUGAGGAACGAAGGGAAAAAUGAGGAGGAGGAGAGGUCGGCGGCGGCGGCGGCGUUAUUAUUAGUAGAAGUAGUACUAGUACUGCUGUUGCCCACCAUCGACCAGAAUUCGAAGUCGGCGGAGGCGACGCAGUCGCUGCCGCUUUUCCGAGGGGAGCACUGUUCCUCUUCUUCUUCUUCUGGUGAUGUUAUUAACUCCAUUUCUUCUUCUUCUUCUUCUUUUUUCCCUCUUCUUCUUCUUCUUCUUUCUGGAGAGAUAGAUAGAGAGAGAGAGAGGAAGUGGAGAGAUGAGGGAGAAAGAGGGGUUGAAUAGGGAACUAAGGUCCCGUUUGGUUCGGGUAUAAGCAAGAACUAGCUAUUAUAGGGAUAGGUACAAGUAUGGGGAUAAGAAAAAUAGCGUUUGGAUGAAAAUUGGGUUGUUCCCGAGGAUAAGAAAAAUAUUAGAAAGUUUUAUAUAGAAAAUAGAGGUGUUGGUGGGGAUAACCGAGAACUACUAUUCUCGGGUAAAAAAUUAGCGUUUGGGUAUAAAGGGAGGGAUAAGGGCCUAUCCCUAUCCCUAUUCCCAAACCAAACGGUGCCUAAGGGUUGAAUAGGGAACUAACUGGGAGGAGGUGAUGACUCCUCCAAUACGGGGUAGGAGGGAAAUUAAGAAACAAGGGAGAGAGAGAGAGAGAGAGAGAGAGAGAGAGAAAAAGAAAGGGAUGGAUGAGAAGAGGAGCUAUAAAGUUAUUGCAUGUGGAUGGAUGGAUCAUGGAUGGAUCAGUGGAUGCAGUUGUAGAGAGAGGAGGGGAGGGGAGGGGAGGGGGAGUUAUCUUUAGAGAGAGACGUGGAAUUAUUGCCUGCGCCUGGUGCUUCCGUAGGCCCGUCUCAUACUCUCAUGCAUGUGCUGCAUCAAUCAUCCACAGUUUCAAAACUAAAGACUCUCUCUCUCUCUCUCUCUCUAUAUAUAUAUAUAUAUAUAUAUAUUAAAAAUAAAAGUAUUAAGCAAAUCCAAAAUUAAAAUUUUUGACAAUUUAUUAUAUACUUAAAAGAAUUAAGCAAUCCAAAAGCACAACCCUAGGGAAAGGAACAUAUAAAAUAAUAAUUCUAAGUUACAAGAACUCCCCAUUCAAAAUGUAUGAAUUCUGGCAUGUAAGUUUUUCGCAUAUAAUAAAAGCACAUUUAUUGAAUACGGUUCUGAUUUUAAGGCCCCUUUAGCAGUGCGUUGCAUGAGAUGUUCUCAUACGCCGAGUACAUGCAACAGUUUACACGCAGAGAGAGAGAGAGAGAGAGAGAGAGAGAGAGAGAGAGGGAUGGAUCAGUGGCCUUGGUACCAUGUUGUGUUGUGGGGACUGUCCCCGCUGUUUUCUGUGUCUGCUGCUGAUAAUUAUUUAGGAAGUCUUAUAGUGAUCUGCUGCAGGGCAGAGUGCAGUCACUGUAACUUAAUAUGCGAAAAUUACUACCUGGACAUGACCCACCACGUCAAUGUUUCACCCCUAGUUUUAAAGAAUGGAUGAGAGAGUUAGGUGGCUACGGACCGGGUCCAGUCACUCACAUCUCACAACUCCUCAGCGUUCAAAUUCAUAGUAAUCCAAGUCGAGUUUUCAAUGUCCUAACAGGGCAGCUUCAAAUCCAAAAAAAAAAAAAAAAAAAAAAAAAAAAAAAAAAAAAACUCUAAAGAUAAUAAUUAGUAAAACUCCAAAAGCUGUCCAAGCGUAAGAAAUUUGCAUAUUCUCAACAACCAAAAAGCCUUUCUGUUUACUACAUCAACUCCGUAGAAUAAUUACUGAGUUGGUAUCCGAGGUUGUAAAUUCGAAUCUUAGUUGAUUCACAUUCGCAGCUAAAUUUAUUUCUAAAUGAAAUAAACGAAACGAAUAGCAUGUUACCUUAUUUCUGGAAAAAAAAAAUUUCUCCAAAGCCUCCGUUUGGUUCGGGGUUAAGAAAAAAGCAGCUAUUCCAGGGAUAGAGUUAAGUUCAGGAUUAAAGUGGAGUUAAAGUUUUUUUUUUGUUUGGUUGGGAGUUAGAGUUAGUCUAGAAUAAUAAAAAAUAAUGUUUGGUUGGGUAUGUGGGAUAAGAAUAUAAUGAUUGAUAAAAAAGGAUAAUGAUUGGUUGGAGUAUGUGUGAUAAGAAAGAUAGUGAGUUAUUAUGAAUAAAAAAUAGUGUUUGGUUGGAGUUUGGUGGGGUUAGAUGGGAUUAGCUAACCCCACUUAUUUUUUAGAAUGUUUGGAAAUAAAAUGAGGGUUAAAGAAUUAUUCCACCCUUUAACUCCCAACCAAACAAAGACAAGGGUCUCAUCAGAUAUUUAUACACUUAUUUAAGGUUUUUUUUUUUUUUGUCUGAAGAGGGUUAUUAUUAUUCACCAUGUGAGUGACUAGGGCAGGUAUUUAAUUGGUUGGGCGGCACAUUGAAAAACACCCAUAGUUAAUUCUUCGCGGUUGUUUAUUUUAAUUUUUUUUAUAGCAAUUUAUGAUGAUAGUACGUCUUUAUAUACGAAUCCAAGGAAAAAAGAGAAAGAAAAAAAAAAAGAGAAAACUAAAAUGCAACGACCACAUUGCUGAUGUGAUGUCCUUUAACCCAUCAAAAUACUCCCUUUGGAUUCACCUAAUCCAUCUUGAUUUUUUAAAAAUACUCCAUUAUAAUUUUUCUCUCAAAAAAGAGACAUAAUUGGUUAAUUACAGAAGAUGUAAUGUAGCUACGGCAUGGUAGAUUUCCUCGUGGACCUAAGAUUACUCUUUUGCCCGGGAAAUUUUUGUUAUUGGUUCAUACCCUGUAUCGAUAAAAGGUCCUUGAAUCAGCACUCCGGAUGGAUGUUGAAACUCUUAUUAAAAAAAAAAAAAAAAAAAAAAAAGCCCACAUCCGGUUUCAAUAGCAUAUUCAGGCAUCAAAUGAAUCAAAUCAGCUGCUUUUAACCGUGCAUUAGUAUAAUUUCCACGCAUAAGAAAAAUCAACCAUAAUUACAUACGUUUGUGUGAGAUUACAGAGGGGUGUUUAUUUUAGGCUAAAUUAUAAAAAAUCUCUGUCAAUACCUGAUUUUGUACUUUUCUCUCUAUCAUUCAAAAACCUACACUUUACCUUCUUAAAAAAAUAAAAAAUAUUCACCUUGAUCCCCGCUAUCAGUGUUUCGUUAAAGUUUCGUUUAUAUUUUAUUUUUUAUAUCCAAAGUACUUCUGAAACCCUCAUCUUUCCUCACCAACCCCGGCCGCUUCUCGCCCUCGCCCACCUUUUUGUCCAUGCCUACACACACGCUCUUGCCCACCCCUUUGUCCAUGCCCACACACACGCCCUUGCCCUCCUCCACCGUCUCACCCUCGCCCACCUCUCCAUUUAUACCCACUCGGAUCUUUCUUCCUACUGUCGUCGAAAUGAAGGAAUGACGAGGAUGCUAGAGGAGCGGAGGAGCAGAUGAAAAAAAUAGAGUCGAAGUUGGGGUUGAGAAAGACGCGAUGAAUGGUAGAGAGGCUGCGGCUGAAAAGAAGAGGCUUCGCAUUAGGAAAAAGACGAAGAGAAUGAAGAGCAAUUUGAUCAUUUUAUCACAGCGUAUUUUCUAUAAAUAUUUUUUAUUUUUUAAGAAAGUAAAGUAUAGAUUUUUGAAUGACAGUGAAGAAAAAUAAAAAAAACAAAUAUUGACCGAAAGUUUUAUGUAAUUUAUCCUUUAUUUUAUGAUCUUAAAACUUCGGAAAAGAAGCAUCACCUUCAUUGAGCAACUACGUGAUGCACCACAUGCAGUGAUGUAGACGCACCCCGUACCCGGCCCACCCAAAUUCAUGGGAAGCAUCCAGCACAACGGAGACAAGGGAUACAGUUAUAGCAUCCCAACAGCCUAUCACGUACCGCCGCAUCGGAUGAUGGUCCGCCAACUAAUUUCCGAUAUGAGCUAUCUUCUUUGUGGGGAAUAUGCUUCCUGUCCAGCUCUAUUCAUCCUAAAACCCUAAAAUCCAGAACACAAACACACGCGCACGCAUGCGCGCGCGCGCACACAUGUAUGCACACAAGCGUGAUAUCCCACCAGAAAAAGGGACAAAGAGCAAGAGGAACUGCUGCAAAAUGAGAAGUGCAUAUGCUCUUCUUCGUUGCGGAUCCCCAUUGAGAUUGAUAUUAACACAGGUAAUGAUAUUAACAAAACAAAACUUUACAAUCGAUGGACCAGAUACAUUGAAUGCAGUAAAGUCCACUCACCGAAUAGUGACUAGGUUGAUUGUGCCUGAUCGGCCAACUGCUCUCUCAAUAUCAUCACCUCCCAAAAAACAGUAUGUCGUUAAGGAUUUCGACAUCUCAGAUUCCCAAGUUUCAGGAAUUUAAGCCGGACGAGCUUUCUGCUUCCGACUGCAAUGUUUAAAGAUAACAAGCACGAGAGAUUCUGCAUUCACAAGGGAAUUGAAAAGGAAUUGAAUAUAGAAUGAGGCAGAAUGAAAUUCUGAACAAGUAAAAGAACAUUCUAUGUUGCAUAACUAAAGAGAUGAUAGAGUAUUUCCAAUGAUAUCUGCAGGAGGGUAAUUAAAAAAGACUUAACGGACAGAUCAACUCAAAAGAAAAUAAAAGAGAAGCUUCCAUUAGUCCGGAAUCAGCUUAGAAGAAGUUAAUAUAGUGAUUUCCAGAAGAUGGUUGGUGAAAUCUAACCUCAAAUUUACUAAGCACUGAUAUAGCUUUUUCAUUUUUUUUAAAAUUCCUUUACAAAGAUCAUAACUACAAAAGCGAGUGCUACCUAACUGAUUCAAUGAUUCUAAUGUAACUGCUUGGGAAGCCAAAUCAAAUGGUCUUUCAGCCGCCUGACUUACACACAUAUCCAUCAAACUAAAAAAAUCAGCAAGUUACCAAUUUACGGUGCUUGUGUAUGCCAACCACAAAAGUAGAGAGCAAGAAAGGAGUAACUGAAGACUGCAGAUUUGGACUCUAAUUCAAAUAUAAUGGAAAAACUAAUUGCAGCCCCCACCAAUUGAGAUAUAUAAAAUGGCACCUAACCCCAAUGAUUUUAAACAUGCGGUCAGAGAGAGAGAGAGAGAGAGAGAGAGAGAGAGAUGAGAUUUUAAAUCCACUAUUCUCACUCUUGUAACAUGACAAGAAGAACAUUAACUUACAUCUAAAAGUUAAAUCCAAUAAGCACUCAAUUACAAGCAAAAAGGAAUGGAUGUGUGAGAGGACUCUUUCAUUAGUGUGUUUCUAAUUCUACAACACACACACACACACACACACAGAGCAUGAAGCAUUGAGGGGGCAUUUAGUCUUUCUCUUUCUACCCUUUUUCCUGUCGGAAUCGCCGACGGGAAACAGAUGCUAGGAAAGAUUAUUAUUGUGUGUUCACAAAGAUUUCAAAAUAUAGCCCAUUAGGAUUCCGAGCAACACGACCGCCAACAUGAACGUGAAGGAGAAACCUCCGUGUUGUUUACCGACCUCUCGCCUCAAAAGCUCCUGCACGCAUUUGGCUUUUAAGUAAAUGAGACUGUAAAUGCAAGGGAAGUGAUACUUUCAUGCUACAUAAGUACACAUAUAUUUUCAACAAUCACGGAAAACAAAGUUACCCGAGCUACAAUAUGCGGUUUUGCUUUACAUCCCAUGACAAAUUAAAGAAACCUGAAUUGGAAGACGUGCAACCACAUAGCUGUCUUUGCUAAAAUGUAAAUGCUUGGAGGAUUGACAUUAGUCGCAGAAAUGGCCCUUAAAGAGUAAGUUCUAGCAGUGGUGUUUACUUCAAUUUAUAGCCUCAUUAAGGCGGCAACAAUAAUUUCUUCAUUAAUACUGCAUUGAGUCGGAAGCUGAAACCUCUAAUUCUAAAACCUCUAAUUCUAAGAACUAUAAGCGAAAUUUGUAAGAAAAAACUUCAGAUGUUUGGAAUGGCCAGGAAUGAGUUAUGCAUCCAGCGACACUUACUGUCUAUGGUUGAUUAUCUAGCCAUCCAAUAAUGCCAGAAAGAAGCCUCUCCAGCAGAAGAAUUUAGUCAUAUAUUUAAUAUCAAGCAUAACAUAAACAAUGCGCGAUACAGUUAUCAUUUGUAGGAUGGCCUUUCCUUACAAAUACUUGUAUUGGUUGUCGAAAGGGGGUUACCAAGGGGUACAUAGUUCUACAUAGAUGCGGAGGAGGAUCGUAUGGAAUAAGUGUACGUUCAACUAGGAGAUCAAAUCAAAUGAAAUACAAAGAAGAUAAAUUGCAGCAACAUAUAUGCGCCCAGUAUGCUGAAAGGAAAUCGAUUGCAGGAAACCAGAUAAUUGACGCCGUUGAGAUGGUGAAAAUAUGUUGCAGAUAGACUGGUACGUCAUUAUACAGCAUACGAGAUCUACUUAUCAAAUAAGAGUUAAAAUAGGUUAGAAAAGAACGAAAGCACACGAUCGAGCUAGCCCUAGCUUGCUCGUGUUCGGCGCGUUGAUAGCUCUAACUGUAUAUAGCAUGAUGUGAUAUAUCUGCUACACAGAAAACUUUCUCCUCCAACAUACCCUUAAUUUUUUAAUUUUCUUCCAACUUAAUUUUCACAUAGUAGAAGAUCGAACUGACAAUCUAAUUUACUGUUCUUGAGCCAGCUCAUAUUCGGCAAGCACAGCACAAUUUUGAAUUUUCAGCUCGAUACUUUAACGAGCUAGCUCGUGCUAGGCUCUUAAUGAAUGAGUACACACGAGCUGGCCCUAGCUCGCUCGUGUUCGGCUCGUCGACAUCUCUAACUGCGUAGUCCGAUCCUACGUGGCGCCUCUACAUUUGUUUCAUUCAUCCGAGCCUAUCUCCCUCCCUCUUCUCCCACCGAGCCUCUCUCCUUCCCUCCACUGCGAGCUGGCCCUCUCUCUUCACACCCUCUCUCUCUCUCUCUCUCUCUCCCCUCCCUUUCUCUCUCUACCUCCCUCUCCUACACUCUCUCUCUCCACACCCAUCCCUCCUCUUUCCCUCUCUACUCGGUCUCUCUCACUUCCCCACUCUCUAGAUCCCCUCUCACCCCUCUCCUCGGGGGUGCGGGCGCGGGGCUUGAGCGAGGGCGGGCGCUGGCGCGAGCAGGAGGCCGAGCGGGAGGGCGUUAGUUUUUGAGCCUCUAAUGGGUUUGGUUCAAGCACUAGACCCCAAGUUACUAUAUAUGGUAGGUUUAACAGUCCCAAGUUGGGAUGGUCCACUGGUAUUUUUUAAAGGAGAACAUGACCUGUUUGAUUCCCUCUUAACUAGCCCCUACAUGACUUCGGGACCUGCUAGGUGUUUCUAGGUCCAUAAUAUAGUACAGGAAGAAAAAAACACCUACAGGAUAAAGUCAAUCCAGCAUUAUAUUGGCUGCUCUAAAUACUUAGUUGCAUUUGUUUGCAAGCAUCUGGACCCAAAAAUAUUUAUGCAGUGAGGAAAUCCAAGGACAAUUCCACAGAUUAUAUCCUCUCCACAGUAGUUUCCACAACAAAGAUUAGAUUGCUGGAGAAUUCCCGCAGCAGUGAACCGCAGAAGCUACGGUAAAUAAGAUUUGACUCUAUUAACAUAUGAACUCAGUUUAGGGACAAGACCGACCAGACACGGGCACCUAUAACACCCAAAAACCUGCUCGACCAAAUCAAAAUCUAACUCAAGUAAAAGCUGAUCAUCUUCUAGAUCAACAAGGGUUGCAACAAAUUGGUUGAUUCUGGAUUUUUAGACAUCCUGCAGAUCUGGACUUAAUCGUAAAUGUGAUGAGCUAAAGCAGGAGUGAGAUCAUUAACUAUAAUUGUACGACCACUAAAUACCUUUGAGUAGAAUCUUGAAGACAUCAAUAAGAGAAUUAAUAUAAUCACAUAAACAAAUUUUCAUAGUUUCAAACAAUCUAAUAAAAGCUCCAGAGGAGUAAAUUUCCUAUUUCAUAAGCCUCUUUUCUUUAAGUGGUUCCUUGGUAUCUGAAGAAACAAAUAUAAUACUAGUUGAACUGAAGCAGAAAGUUACCAAGUGAUUUCUAGAGGAAAAUAUGAAUAAUCAGCAAUGCAAAGACAAAAAUCAUUUUAUCCACAGUAAAUUGUACUUUAUAUCCAUACAAUACAACAGUAUACUGCAAUGUUAAAUUGAAUGGAUAUGAAUACAUACCGUAACUCAUGGAGGUCCAUCCUGAUAUUAUGAAUCAGUAGUCUUUCCUUCACAAUAGUCAUUAAGCUCACAAUCUUUAUCAGAAGCUAUACGCUGCAUAGCAAAUAAGAACAUAGAAAGCAUGCAAGAUCAAUGUUCUAACAUACAAGAAAAAAAAAACCCAGCGUUUGCAAUGAAGAGGAUAUACUUCAGGCAAUCAUAGCAGACAAAAGACUUGCUCCCAUCCAUUUAUAGGAAUUAAAAGAGUAAACAAAAAUAUAGGAUAAGAAACAUGAAUUAUUAGAAAAUGUAGAAUUUACCAUUCUUUUGCUGAUAUAUGGUUGUAUCUUGAAUGAUACUUCAGAUGCUACUUCAGGGUGAUUUUUGUCCCCAUUGAGCUUAUGCUUCUCCUUCUCAAACUCUCUUUUGGAUUCCCUUCUAGUGCCAGAUUGCCAAACUCGACCAAAAUUUGGGAGCCAAUUAGCAUCACAAAUAUUUGCAGCAAUUUCGCCUCUCUUCUCCCUUUCUAUUUCAGCUCUUCUUUUUUCUGCCCAUGCAGCUCCUACACGUUUAGGGUUCAAUUUCCGCUUCCCUUUCUGGGCAGAGGCUGAAGAAGAGCUCUUGAGGCAUGUUACUCCAUUCACUAAGUUUCUCUCAUUUUCUUCACUUGCAUCUAACCAGGGAGGCAAAGCACCACUAUGCACAUUUUCUUUCAAGCCUUCAGAAGGCAAUGCUAUUGGAGUCAAACCUUUCACAACUAAAACAGAAUUCAUUCAUCAGUUGCAACUGCAAUACUGCAAGAAUAUAUCCUGCUAAGAAAUAGGAAAACUGGAAAUCUAAAUAAAGAUUGUGAAGAAAUCAAUACCAGCACUAAAGUCACCCCUAGAAUCACUGCUUUGAUCCUGUAUAAAACAAUAAGUUCAUUUGCUUGUAACAUUCAAAGGAAGAAGCUCAUAUCAUACACCUCAAAAUUAUCGUAUCAGACCAGAAAAGCAUCAAAACUAUUAAAAGUAAAGCUGUAGAAUCAAUAUGUCAGUAGAUUUUUUCCUUUUUUAGGGAUAAGAUAUCUUAUGUUAAAGGCAAGCUUCUAUUAACAAUAUAAGAUCUCCUGAAGUAUAUACUGCCAUCUAUAACGUGAACUAAAUCAAACAUGAACAGGAUAGAACAAUCAAAAAUCAUAUCUAGAAUUAGUUCCCAAAGAAUCAGCUUUUGCUUAUCGACUAGAAAAGCUACUCUAGUAGUUGGAUCAAACAGGCAGUAAGUAUAAUCCAAAUUUAACGCUCUCCAUAGAAUGACUUCUCUUAUGCCAUUUGCAUAUGAGACUUGAGAUCACAUGCCUAUUUUAUUCUCCAACAUUACCAUUCCAUCUUAGUGAGUUCUCAAAUUAUAGAGCCCCUCAUAAUUGCCAAAGAAAGGUUUUCCAAUCCUAAAUAGAAGACAGACAACUUCCAUAUCCUUUACAUCUAAAUGUACUAUUUAUCACCCAAAAAAAGAGGAGAAAGUUGAACUUAAAGUGGAACAAUCAUGUCAAAUCCACAGGUGACUUCGUGAAUACAAUCUCAAUAAGCACAUACAAAAGGAUAUUUUAUACAUUUUACAAAACAAGAAUAUUUACCAUUCCUCUUCUUGCAGACCAACCAAAUGAUGCUUUACCAUUAUUAUUGCAAAGACUAGCAGGUUGGUUACCUGAGACAUAAUACCAAACAUGAAAAGUUAACAUCAAAUGAUGAAAUUAUUGGAAAGUUAACAUGAAAAGAGAAGUUAAGAUGUUGAAUACUAAACAAUCAUCACAAGAACAUAAAUAAUUUGCACUCACUUUGGUAACUUCCAGCCCAACUUUGCGAAGCAUGUGUAUACUGGAGACUGCUAUAUUCCUGUACGCUAGCUGUGAAAGGAGCAAAGUAGGGAACUUGUCCAGUAUUCGAAGUUCCACUAAACUCCUCAUUGGUAAGACUUUGUAAAGGCAUAACACAAUGAGAAACAUUUGAACUAAAUGACUGGAUAUAACUUUGUGCAUAAGUAUCCAUAUUGUUAGAGGUAAGUUCAUUUUGGAUAUCUAUUGACUUUGAUGGCCCCGGCGAUGGUCCAAUUGGUCCUUCACUUAGUGUCUGAGCUGCACUCUUUAAUGCUUCACAGCCUUUCUCCCACUGCAGUUCCAUAAUCAUCACCACAUAAUUAAUAUACUCAAAAUAAAUUUAAUUUCUUCAAAUUAGGGAAAACUCCAACACAAAUCUAGCCACUUAACUCGCUGACUUUGUCAAAUAAUUAUCAUGAUUAUACAAAAAAGAAACAAUUUCACUUAAAAUCCUUCUUAAACAAUGAUAUAUGUCUGAAAAAGAAUAUAAGAAAGUAUAUGCACAUAACCCAUAAAAAAAACUCAGCAUUGAGGAAACUAUUUCCAUGAACUACAUGAAGUCACAAUAGUGUCCUUAGAAAACAAACUAACUUUACAGUCAUCGAGUAUCUAAUUAGCAUCCAUUAUGAGCUAGUUUCACUUACUUUACGGUCAUAGAGUAAAGUUACUUAACAAGCAUUAAAUUUACUUGAUGCAAAUAAACACCAAGAUCAAGCUAGCUUCUUCUUUAGAAAUUUCAGAGGCCAAAAAUCAUUAAAAAAAUUACUUCAAAUUGAAUCAUGUGCUCACCUUGAGCAGCUCCACUUCCGAAACCCUAAACGAAUCAACCCGAUCCAUCCCUCCCCCAUGCUUCUGCAGGAAAUCCCUCACGUUCCUCAGAUGUUCCUCGCUUGCCAGAUGAUGGAUCGCGUUGCUACUGCGGAUAACCAACCACAACAACCAAAACGACGAAACACUAGAAACCCUCAUCAAACACGGAAUCUCACAAAACCCUAAAUCCAGGAGCAUCGAGAAGUGGGGAGGCGUACCAUGCGAAGGCGCUGCCGAGCUCGCGGAGGUCGAGGGCGCAGAAGGGGCACUAGAGGCGGUUGAUGUGCGCUUGCUUCGAGCAGAGAGGGGACGGAUGGCGGAGGAAGAAGCGGAGGUCGGAGAGCUUGGCACGGAAGCGGGAGAGGAGGGCGGAGACGGCGCGGAGGUGCGAGGGGAAGUACCUGUGGCGGCGCCCAUGUGCGUGGUUCACCCUGCACACCUCGCACAGCUCGAAGGAUCCCUCCUCCGACGAUCGCUUCGCACCCUUCUCCGCCAUUGUCGACGAUGGAGAGAAAGAAAGGGGUUAGGUAGAAAACGCGGAACGGAGGAGGAGGAGGGGGAGACGGGAACCCUUCCCCGUCUCCUUGUUUAGUAUAUAUGUAGGCCCGCGCUGCUGCGAAAAAUUUAUGUAAUAUUUAAAAUUUAAAUUUUUAAUCUUUAUUUUUAUUCUAAAAUUUAAAAUUUAUAAUUUAAAAAUUCUAAAAUUUUUCUGUUUUAAAUUUUAAUUUUCAAAAUUCAAUAUUUUACUGCCCACGGAUCAAAAAAUUUAAACUUUAAUGUAAAAUCAAAAAAUUUAAAUUUUAAAUUUAAUUUUUAUUAUUUGUAUGUGAUCUAAAAUCAUACAAAAUAAAAAAAAAGGUUAGAAAAGAGAAAAAAAAAAAGGAAAAUGAAACAUAGAGAAGAUGCUGGAGAAAAUAAUAAAAAUAAAGUGACUGCAAAGCUACCAGUGAAGAUCAUGGCCGUGGGAUGCGGAUUUAGCGGCGAUGAUGAUGAAGUUGGAGUUGAUCUUGCUAUCUCCGCCAUGUUUUUAGCGAUCUGAGCUCUCUUUCUCUCUCUAGGUCGAUGUUAGAGAGAGACGCCGCAAAGUCAAUAGAUUUCGUUUUCUCACAGAUGGUUGUAAACUCCACCUCUCUUUCUCUCUCUCUGUGUGUGAGUUGUGUUAAGUGGUCAAUAUUAUAAAACUAAAAUUUAUGUUUAAUACAUAUAACCUACACUAUUUAAAAAUUAUAUGUAAAACAUUUUAUACUUUAAAUUUUUAUGAUGAAAGAGAGUAGAAUUAGAUUGNGGAAAAAAAAAGUAAAAAAAACAUAGAGAAGAUGCUGGAGAAAAGUAUAUACAAAACACAUAUAAAGUUGGCCCGGUCCAGCACAAAUACCGCCCAAUUCGCUCGAGCCAGCGUCCGCGCCGGCUCGCCCCACGCCGGCGACCACCCGCACCUCUCGACUCCGCCUCUCGGCUCUAGCGCCGGCGCCGUCCGCGCCAGAACCGAAGUUCGCCCCCGCACCCGCAGCAGCGCGAGCCCGCGCCCGCGCCUCCGCCUCCCGCUACCGCCCGCCCGCGGCUCCGCCUCCUGUUGCCGAGCGCUCGCGCCGCCCGCUCGCUCUGGGGAGAGGGGGCGAAAGAGAGAGAGAAGGGGGGAGGAAAAGAGGGGGAGAGAGAGAGGCGUUGAGAGAGAGAGAGAGAGACGUUGAGAGAGUGAGAGACAGAGAGGCGGUGAGAGAGGGAGAGAGAAAGAGAGAGCGCGGCGGUUCGAGAGGGAGAGAGAGAGAGGAGAGAGAGAGAGGCGAGAGAGAGAGAGAGAGCGGCGCUUUGGACGGGUGGGGGAAGGGAGUCAUCCGAUGAAAAAAUGGGCGGCGCAGAUUGAUCCAUGUUGAAAGGUUGGCUUUGGAGUUUGGAGGGACAAUAAGAGCCUGUCACGUGGCAGAAUAGAAGUCCCAAAUAGAUAAAUUAUAUAGAUAAUAUAGAUAAUAAUAAUAUACGUAUACAUAUACAUAUAUGUAUAUGUAUAUAUUAUAGAGCGCUCCUCUUAAAGCACGUGGCGUUUGCACGACUCCCAAAGCACUAGGUGCUAAGUAGGCCGGGAUGUUGGCCGGGCUCAAUUGAUUCGUUAAAAUUGGGCCGGGUUGGCCCGGGACGGGCCAGAUUUAGUAUUUUGCUGGUUUUUCUCGUACGUCAACUUUAGUGGGAGUUCUUUUACAAUUUUAAAUUUUAAUAAACCAGUACAUUGAACAUUGGAUUUUACAAAUAAAAAAAAAAAACCCCUUUACUCCGCAAAAGCUGAGGUUACAUAUGGUUGAUAAUAAAUUGAAUUUCUAGUUAUUUGAUUUAUCUUCUUUUUUUUUUCGAAUAAGUAGUAUUGUUCAUUUUUAGCGGUAAUUUGAUGGAGAAGUUUCGAAGUUAAAAAAUAUACAUACAUUAUACAUACAGAUAUAUAUUGUAAGUAGGUGUGACAAUAUAUGACGAGACCGACGGUCUCUGGAGCAAGUGGCAAAGGGUUUGGUGGUUGGUAUCUGAGGUCUCAAGUUCGAAUCCUAGUUAAUUCACAUUUCCAGCUAAAUUUAUUUCUAAAUAAAAUAAAUGAAGCGGAUAGCGUACUCUCUAUCUCUUAAAAAAAAAAAAAAAAAACAAUAUAUGACGAGAUCUGAUAAAUAAACAAAUUUCGAUAUAAAAUCUGGUCUUGAAAAUCGGGUCCGAACAAAUUACUUGGUCCGAAUCAAAUUUGGGUUCAGGUCCGAGCGCGGAAUUCAUGCCCACCAGGUCAUGCAACCAAGAUUUCUAAUAACAGUUUAGAUAGCUAAAGUAAACUUUAUUAUUUUAAUAUUUAUGUUUUAUAUUUUAUUUUUAGAAUAAUGUGUUUCUAGGAAUGCCACAUUUUUCCGCUGUAGGUGUGUAAAUUUUGAAUUCAAAUUUUAAUUUUGUAGAUAUUUUAAACUUUUUCUUUAAGGUUGCGUUUUUGGUUCAGUAAGAAUUGCUUAUUUCAAAGAUAGUACAAAUUUAAGUAUAAAUAUGAAUUAGACCAAUUUUGUAUUUGGAUAAAAUUGAAUUGUUCAUGAAAAUAAGGUAAAUAGUAUUUUGAUAGUUAGAUUAGAACAAAAACAAAUAGAAGUUAUAAUUUUAAAUUAAAAAGAUUUUAUCUAAUUAAUUAACAUCAAAAUAUUAAUUGGAUUGGCUUUAUAUUUAGGUCUUAAUAGAUUUUUUUUAUUUUGGUAUAAAUAGGACACUUAUACAAAAGUGCCUAAAAAAUGUGUCUUACAAUCUAAUUUUGUUCUGUUGAAUUUAGUAAAUUAAUAAAUUUAUUAACUAUAAAAAUAUAUUAAUUAAUUAAUUAUAAAAAAAAUUAUAACUUUUUAAUUAGUUAGUAAAUUAUUUUAGUUAGAUAAUUAGUAUAGAAAUUAAUUAGAUUAGUAAAAAUAUUAUCGAUUGAUCAAUAUCAAUAUAAAUAUUAGCUUAUGGAUUAACACAUUAAAUUAUUAAUUUUUAAUUAGCGAAUUAAUUAUAAAUAAUAUAUUAAUUUCUUACUUUAUUAUUUAAGCAAUAGAUAAUGAUGAAAUAUAUUAAUUAGAUUAAUUAAUGAUUUAAUACUAUAAUUAAAAUAAAAUUUAGCCUUUAAUUAAGCUUAUUCUUAUUUCGAAACAAACGUUAAUUGCAGGAAAAAAGAUAGAAUAACAGUUUCAGACUUAUACCAACUUAAUUGUUUCAAAAAAAAAAAAGGACCAUUGUUUCCAUCUCCCAAAUUAUGUUUGGAUAUAAAAGGGGGGGAAUAAGGACUUAUUCUCCCCUUGUACCCUUUAAUCAAUCGGAUAAGGUAUUAAAAAUUGGGUUAAAGUAGGUUUGGAUCUAAAUAUAGUACAAUUAAUAUUUUGAACAGUAGAAUUGUAAAGUAUAAAUUAUUAUCCCACAUAUACACAGAGGGUUUCUGANCACACCCGAAAAAAAAAAGAAAAGAAAAGAAAACAGAGAGAGAGUCAAAUUAUAGAAUUGAUUGAGCCAUCCAACCACCAAAGAGUUGGGUCCUUUUCACUGCCUAUGUAUCUCCUCAUGUCAUGGUGCACAAACGUGGUCCAAAUACAUCUUGGGACAACUACACCUCCUUUAACCUUAACAAGCACAAAACGAAAAACAGAUGCAACUUUUAUUGUACUUGGCACACCUACGUACGUACAGUUUAAAUAUUGUUCAAUGAUAACAAAAGCACUAUUAAAUUCCUUAAAUGGCAUGGAGAGUAUUAUUUUGUUCUUUGUUUUUUUGGCAUAAGAAGCUUCCUUUCUAAGAUUAGUACCUAUAACUUACCACUAAUGUUAAUCUAUAUAUUCGUUUUGUAUUUGUUUGGACCACAAUGUGGUGGUGGUUUUUGGACCACAGUAAACGAUCGAGUACAUGAGGUGGUUGUGUUUAAAGUUAUAUUUAAUGAAUGGGGACUUGUUUUCUUAUGGUAUUGUUGAGAGUUAAUGACCAAUUAAUGUGCUCAGAUGAUUGUGUCUGUGGUCCUAUAAUAUACCAUACAUAGGUUUUAGAGAGAGAGAGAGAGAGAGAGAGAGAGAGAGAGAGAGAGAGAGAAUUUAAAUAGCUUGAUGUACCAUAGAAUGUACCCCACAAUAUCUCCUCCCCUCUCAAUUUUUACGUAUAACCUAGAUAUUGUGUCGCGUACGAUUCCAUGGCAAAGUAUAAAAAUCUAAGUUGGUAUGAGUUUUAUGAUCACACCAAUGCUGUUCUAAGUACUACGGAAAUUGAUAGACUACCUUUUGAAAUAUAAGUUUAUAUGCUAAAUUUAAAAAACAUGUAUUUGCGUUAAAAGAUAUAUUUUAACAAAUGCAUAUGUCAGAAACUUCGGUUUAGUGCAUGCGAACGGACGAUAAAUAACUUUCGGUGAAACUGAAGAGCCAUGCUGUUUAUUUUAACGAAAGUGACACAAAAUAGCAGAACUUCAGUUUCAAAUACUACCAAGCUACAUUUAGGGUACAUUUUGGUUAUAAUUAUAUGUGUAAAAACUAUGGCUCUCAUAUCAAGGACACAACUAUUAUGCUUAAGUCCAACAGUGAUAGGUUGUUCAAAGCUUUUGGAAAUGAGCAUACAUCACAUGCUUGCCCAUGCUUCUAUGGGACCACUCAAUGAGGUGUACCAUAAGGUUUUUUAUACUUGGUUUUUCAAUAUAAGUUUAACUUCUUCCUAGGUAAAUACAAGGAACUCAUUGGUUUAUGCUCUAUUAGUUAUAUUACUACUUGAUAAAAAUUUGACAUAUCCAUGAAUAUACUCUUGCCAAAUACCCUUCUCUAGGAAACUCAACUUACCUCUAUGAAUUGCAUGGUUCCUUUUAAAAGAUAUUUUGGUAAGAAACAGUAUCCCAAAACUGAAGGAAAUUGUACCACAAAAUAGUUCCUUAAUUAUGCACGUGAAAUUGAUAUAUAUUGAGAGAGAGAGAGAGAGAGAGUGAGAGAGAGUUUAGUUAACAUACUAUUGAGAAUGUAUGAAUAGUUUUUACUAUAUAUUUUUCUAUCAUUAAUUAGAUUAUUACUAUUUCACCUACCACCGCUAAAUCUUAGCAUCCAAUAAUAAAAAAUAAUAUAUGGCAAAUAUUAUUUCUAUACUAUUAAUAAUGUACUAGCACCACUUUUAUAUAUAUAUAGAGAGAGAGAGAGAGAGAGAGAGAACUAGGUUGGAAUGCUAUCAAUACACCAAGCUAUUGGUGCUAUUAGUUUUUUAGCUUUUGGAUUGAGAAAUGUGCGGUUAGGAUGAUGUGGGCCCCUAGGGUUGAGUGGGUGGUUGGUUGAAUAGUAUAAUCUAACGAAUAAAAAUAAUCAAAGAGUUAAAUCUAACGGUGGAAAACUCGAUAGUACCAAGUCCUUGGUCCUAUCAAUAGUAUCCCAGCUGAACUCUCUCUCUCUCUCUCUAUAUAUUUAUAAGCAGGAUAUUGUGCUAUUAGAAGCACAACAGCCCUUGUGCUUUUAAAUUCCUAACCAUUCAUUAAUUUUGAUGAAUGGUUAAGGUGAAAGAGAGAAGAUAAAUUGAAGAGAAAUUGGAUAUCUCAAUUUCUCUUUUCUUUAAUUUUUUUUUCAAUUUUUCUACUCUCUCUCACCCUAAUCAUUCAUUAAAAUUAAUUGAUGAUUAGAAACUUAAAAGCAAAAGGAUUAUUGUGCUCCUAAUAGCACAGUAGCCCUACUCUCUCUCUCUCUCUCUCUCUCUCUCUCUCUCUCUCUAUAUAUAUAUAUAUAUAUGAGGGAGGAGCUGAAAAUUUUACUAAUUAAACAUAUACGAACAAUUAAAUUUAUUAAAUGUUAACGGUAACCUCACACAACCUCCCCUCGUCUGCAUGAUAAUAUGAAAAACAAGUGGGAUUGAUAGGUAAAGUAUAAGAUGCGGAUUUAACCCAUUAAAUGUGAGAUUUUAGUUAUAAAACCAUUUACAAUAAAAGAUCUUCCUAGCAGGAGAUGUAUGAAUUAAUACAGAAAACACGGAAUAUAACCUUCACAUGCUAUUUUACCAACGAAAGGAAUGCAUGCAAAAUUAGGAAUUUCAUAGAUGUGCUCCAUUCCCUCAAUUUGCACCAAAUAGUGAGGCCUUACCUACUAUUCUAUGCACAGUAGUUUUAAUAAAUCGUGUCACAUUUUAGUCCUUUUAUCAUAUGGUACAUCACAACUAUUCAUAAUUUAGUGAGACCAUACAAAUAUUCCACAAGUGAUCAUGGAUCCACUUUGGAAUACGCAUGAAGAUGUAAACAGUUUGUAAGUACCAGAUGAAAAGUGCAUUGACAAAUUUACGUAUGGAGAGCUACUAUCAAAGUUGAGAUGUACCUUAGUGUUUCUUUGCUAUGUAAGUGAUUCAUUUUAGCACUGAUCCAAACUCUUCAAAAAUUGUCACAUUUUUGUUAAUGUUAAUUUUUUUUAAAAAAAAGAAGAAAAAAGGUGAUUAUUACUAUCAAUAUUGUAAAAAUAAUAAAGAAUAAAUGAGUUCUGAUUCAAAUUGACAGAAAUAAAAGGUGUGCUCAGAACAACAUGAGGGUAUAACGACGUCCAUUCUGCUUGGACAACAUUACUACUCGCUUGAAAGCUGCUUGGUACUGACUCUGUGCUGGUUUGGUCUCGCUCCUUUCCUGCAGGCCUAGAUGAUUUAUUAUUCUUACAAAAAAUUAAUGACAAAGGCUGUAUCAAAGUAUCACUUCCUACAAAGUAGCAACCGAAAAAAAUAACAAGGGCUUAGAAAGGGAACAAAAGUUUGUCCCCAGAAAUAAGACUCCUAUAAUUGUUGGUUUUGAAAAAAAAAAAAAAGAAGUCUUGAAGUAGUAUUAUUCCAACUACUGACAUUGUGGUCUUUGAUGGACCCUCUCUGUCAUUAUAAUCAAAGAUCACCAAUUUUCAUGUGGAUCACAUUCACACUUUGUUUGCCUCUAGUCAACCCAAUUGUUUGACCAUAGAUCACACCACUAUUUGGAAAAAGGAAUGGAAUCUUUGGUGGGAGCCAAUUUGGGAACUCAAUGCAAAUUAGGGCUUUCUCACAAGAAAAGUAGUGAAAUAGUGCACUUCGUUUUUGCUCCUGUUUUCAGUUAUAAUAAUGUUUAGUAGAAUAUUAAAUAUAUUAAAAAGUUGAGGCAAUUGUUUAUAUAUUCUUAAAAAGUUAUAGAUUUUUUUUUAUUUACCCCUUUAUAUGGUUAAUAUAAAAAAUAUAUUUUUAACGUUUCAACUUUUUUUCAAAUAUGUUUUUGGAGUUAAAUUAUGUUAGUGAACUAUUAAGAACAUUCGUUAUUUCUGUAAAAUUACUAUUUUGUUUUUUUCAAUAUAUACUAUUUUACACUCACCAAGUUUUUUUAUUUGUGUCAGGGAUAAAAAGUAUCUUGACUUUUUGUCCUUUUAAAUAUACUCUUUUACCAUCAUCACCAAAUUCUCUUAUUUGCUCUUAAGUUAGGAAUAAAAGAGAUAUUUUGACUUUUUUUUAACUUUAGUAGAAAUUUAAUCUAAAUUUAAUUUGAGGUAACUUAACGAAUACUGAUCGUGGGAGUAUUUUUAAAUGACGAAAAAAAUAUACGAGAGAUAUAUUUGAAAUAAAAAAAUAUAUAAAAAAAAUAUUUCAGAAGUUUUGAAUAGUAUAUUAAUAAUUAUCCCUAGAAAGUUUGAUACUUUUGUUACAGUGGGUGCUUUAACUGAUAUUUUAACCCUCAAAGAAGCUCUUCCAGUUUGUGACUCAUCUACACAAUAAAAUAUAUUUAAGCAGCAAGGUGUUUUAUAGCUAAACCAAAUGGGUCCUUAUUAAGGAUUACUUCUCUUUUUGCUUUUCGCUUUUUUUUCUUUUUUUUUUUCUGGUGAAAACUAAUAACCAUAAUCGACUGUCUCUAGAGCAAGUGGCAAAAGACUUGAUGAUUAGUACUUGAGGUCCCAAGUUCGAAUCCUAGUUGAUUCAUAUUUUCAGCUAAGUUUAUUUUUAAAUGAAAUAAACGAAGCGGGUAGCGUACCUAUCUCUCUCUCAAAAAACAAACAAAUCUUGUUCACACUUCACACAUGUCAGUGUAAGGUUGUGUUUANAAAAAAAAAAAAAAAAAAAAAAAAAAACUAAUGUAACAUGAAAAAGCAAGUCAUCUGUAAAAUGAAAAAAAGAAUUAAAGAUACUCAACUUAUUUACAUUCUUAUACAAAUCUACAUUCACAUCAUCUUCUCUCACCUCAAAAAAAACAGAAAAAAAAAGAAAAAGAAAAGAAAAAAGCUGCACAUUUUAACUUUCCCUGAAAAGUUGAAACCAGCCACAUCCUGGCCCCUUUUUGCCACUCAAUCCUCCUUAUUUAUCUCUUCAAUGCCCCCCAUAUCACUAGAAAUUUUACUGCAGCUUAACCUUUUUUUUCUCUUGUAAAUAUAAAUAAUUACUUUAUUUGAUCUAACAUUAAAGGACAACAAAACAAUCUCAUAUGUCACUCCAAGGAUUUCCUGCUUCCCAGCUCCCCUACUCCACCCCCUCUCUCUCUCUCUCUCUCUCUCUCUCUCUCUCUUCUUCAAAGUAGGUUGAAGUACACUUGGUCAUUAUAUUCUUUUUAAAAAAUAAAAAAAAAUUUUGUAAUAGUUUUAUUAUCUUGCAAUAAAAAAUUUUAAUGUGAGGGUGAGGGGGUGUUUAACUGUACAUAAAAUCGUAAAAAAUAAUUUUUUAUAAUUUUUUUGUGAAAAUAAUAUUUUAUAUUUUGUAGUAUUAGAUUCAUAGAAAAAAGUUUUUUAUUAAUAUUUAUUUGGUUGGAAAAAUUAUAUUUAUUUGGCUCAGUGGAAAAAAAUAAAUGAAAAAAUUUAUGCAGCUUGAAUUUUCGUUCUUCACUGAAAAUCGGCGAAAAAUAAAAAUACAUUAUUUUUUUUUCUAAAUCUGUAAAAAUAAUUCUUCGAAAAAAAUUUUCUACGACUAAAUAAACAUACAAAAAAUAAUUUUUCAAAAGUAAUUAUAUCAAAAAGCAGAACAAAAGCAUACUAUUGAGUAUAAAAAUAUAAAAAAUAUAAAAAUAUUUCAUAUUAUUAAAAAAUAAUAUUAGAAUUAUUUUAAAUCCCUACAGCUUUACAACGAUUUUGUAACGUAAUUAUUUAAAUCCACACCAUUCAUAUUUAACAAAGUAACAUUUUUCUAUAUUAAAACCGAAUAUAUUAACUUUUUAUUUAAUAAUAAUUUAAGUUUUUAAAGAUAAAUAAUUAUUUGGCAGGCAACUGUGAUACAGUAAUACUACCUUUUUUUUUAUCUAGGUUGGUAAUGUCAGACACUCCAAUAAGGGAAGCCAAGAAAAGUGUGACUCCCCACCAAUAAUUGUGGCAAGAGCCAAUAAUAUGCCCUUCACUUGUGCCCAACAUAUAUAUAUAUAUAUAUAAUAUAUAUAUAUAUAGAGAGAGAGAGAGAGAGAGAGAUUGUGUGUGGGUAGUAUGCUUAUAUAAGCAUGGAGCUCUUUGUACUUUUCAGUCGUUUUUAAUAUUAAAACUUUCGAAUUAAUGAUCAGCUCUAGUAGAUUUGAUUUAAGGCUAAAUUAUAGAAAAUUUUCCUAUAAUAACCCGCUUUUUCACUUUUCUUUUCCCUCCUGACAUUUAAAAACCUACACUUUGCUCUCCUGUAAAAUGAAAAAUAUUCACAUGAGGAUUACGGUGUGUAAAAUGACCAUUUUGCCCCUCGCCAUUGUCGUAUUCUUCCCCAUCUUCCUCAGUCGCCCCUUCUUUCUGCUACGAUUUCCACCUCAAUCGGCCACGAUCUCUUUCCAUUUUCUUCUCCACCUGCUCUCCUUCUCCUCCUGCACCCUCGCCGCCUUCGAUUUCGGUGACAGUAGGAGAAACCGAGAUAAGCGACAGUAGGAGAAGGGCAAAGAAGGCGAAGGCGAGGUGGCGGAGGAUGACGAAGGGGAUGUGGGUGAGGGCGAGGCAGUGGAGGACGGCGAGGCGGCGAGGCGGCAGCAAGGUGGCGAGCCGGAGGGAGGCGAAGCAACAGGAAGAUAGCGGAGGGGUAUUUUCGGAAUAAAAAUAUAUUUUUUAACGGAAACCUAACGGUAGGGGGUGAAGUGCACAUUUUUUAUUUUACAGGGGUGUAAAGUGUAGGUUUUUAAAUGUCAGGGAGGAAAAGUGAAAAAGCGGGUUAUUACAAGGGGGUUUUCUGUAAUUUAGCCUUGAUUUAAAGUAUUUGAAGUAUCUAAAAAGUAAAUUUUGUAACUUUUCGAUAUCAUUUGCCUAGUGAUCGAAGGGGCUCAAAAGCAACAACUGAAAAUAAAAAUCUUAUAAAAUGUGAUGAUAUAAUAUUAGAAUUUUUGAUCAAUUACAUUAAUCUUGUUUUAUAUAGUAUAUAAAAAAUUUUAUAUUAAAAAUUUACGUGAUUUAGAUAUUUCUACACUAUUAAACUUACAAAUGGCUUACCAUGGUUAUUAAAAUUAUUGAUUUUGAGCCCCUUGAUCACUAGACUAAUGAUAUCAAAAAAAUCACAAAAUUUAUUUUAUUGGUAAUUCAAAUACUCUAAAUAAAAUCUAAUAGAACCGAUCGUCGAUUUAAAAGUCCUAAUAUCGAAAACGACUUAAAAGCACGGAGGGCUCCGUGCUUUCAGAAGCAUACUAGUCUCACUCUCUCUCUCUUUCUCUCUUUCUAUAUAUAUAUAUAUAUAUAUAGAGAGAGAGAGAGAGAGAGAGAGAGAGAGCUAGACUGGAAUACUAUUGAUAGCAAAAGGUUCUUUUUGCUAUCAAGUUUUUAAUCCUUGGAUAAGAAAUUGUAAGGUUAGGAUGAUAUUAAUCCCUUAGGGUUGAGUGGUCCCCACUCGGUUAUAAUAUUUAAUCCAAUUAUUAUAAAUGAUGAAAGGAAUUAAUUCAAAGGUUAAAAAAUUUGAUAACAAAAAAGGUCUUUUGCUAUCAAUAGUAUUCUAGCCCAACUUUAUAUAUAUAUAUACACACACAUGUAUAUAUAAAGUUUGGCUACUAUAAUUUUAUGAAUAUAGACCCUUUUAUACUUAUAAGUUUUCGACCGUUAUAUCUUACUCCUUUGAUCGUUUCUAUCCAUUAAAUUAUACUAUUAACCAACCACCCACUCAACCCCGGACGACUACUAUCAUCCUAAUUGCACAUUUCUUUAUCCAACGGCCAAAAAUUUAAAUCUAUACUCAUUAGAGUAUAGUUACCCUAGCAUAUAUAUAUAUAUAUAUAUAUAUAUAUAUAUAUAUAUAUAUAGAGAGAGAGAGAGAGAGAGAGAGAGAGAGAGAGAGAGAGAGAGAGAGAGAGAGUUGAGCCGGAAUACUAUAUUGAUAGCAAACGAGAUCCAUUGCCACCUAUUUAUUUUCGAUGAUGGAGCCUCCAAAUCGACGAUCGACACCGUUUAACAUGAUCUAUACCACUUGAAGUAUCUAGAAAUCAAAUUUUAUACUUCUUCGAUAUUGUUCUCUUGUCCAUAAAGUAGGCGUAAAAAUGAACGGCUGAAAAUGAAUAUCCUUUAAAAAGUGAUGAUAGAAAUUUUGUAAUCAAGAUCAAGAGUAUAGAUCUUGUUUUAAAUAGUUUGAAGAAUUUUUUAACCAAAAUUCAAUUAAUUUGAAUAGCUUUACACCGUUAAACAAGAAAAUGUCUCAUAUCUACCAUUAAAAUUAUAAAUUUUGAAAUCCUUUGAUUAUUAGGUCAAUGAUGUCGAAAAGAUUUGAAAAUUGAUUUCUAGAUACUUCAAGUGGCAUAAAUCAUAUUCAACGGUGCGCAUCGUCGAUUUGAGGCUUCAUCAUUAAAAACAAAUGGAUGGCAACGGAGCCCGUUUGCUACCGAUAGCAUUCCAGCUCAACUCUCUCUAUCUCUAUGUAUAACUAGAUUAGAAUACUAUUAAUAGCACCAACUCAUUAGUGUUAUUAAGUUUUCGACCCUUGGUUAAAGCGAUGUGCGGUUAGGAUGAUAGUAAUUUUCUACUAUUGAGCGGGUGGUUGAUUGAAUAAUAUAAUUUAACAGAUAAAAAUAAUUAAAAGAUUAAAUCUAACCGUGGAAACUAUAUAGUAAGUUUAAGAAG
rnacentral:lncRNA from 1 species